UAUUUGCUUCCUUAACCAAUUCCUUGGGGCACUGGUUAUGAAGCCCGGAUAUGUAGUACGGAUACGGGUACGAUACGAUAUGGGUACACGGAUACGCGAAAUUUUUAAAAUUAGGAUACGAUACAGUUAAGAUACGUUAACAAAAUAUUUAUACUAAAAUUUAUAUGCAUGUAAAAUACUUAAAAAAAAAACAUUGACUACUCUUCAAUACUAUAUAAUCAUAAAUUCACAAUUUACAAAAAAUAAUACAUGUGAUCAAAUUAAAAAAUGUAAAGUUUUCGUAUAAAUCAUCUUCCAUUUUCAUUAAUGUUAGGUUAUCUCCUCUCUCUCUCGUUACUUUCAUCCACCAAAAACAUAAUUUUUAAUUGGUCAUCGAAAAACAAUUAUAGUGAUUCAUAUCUUAAAUUGAAUCAUAUACAUCUCCAUUGAAUUUUCACAACAUAGUCUCAUUUUUUUAUACUUCAUUUUUUUUUCUUCAGGAUAUGUCUCUGUGAAGUAUCUUAUAAGUAUAUGUGUAUAUCUGUCGAGUAUCUUAUAAAUAUCCGGUAAAAUAUAUAUUUUAAAUUAAAAUAAUUAAUUCCAAUACUCCGUGAGUACGUAUCUGACAGUAUCUGCGGAGUAUCAGUAUUCGAUACAUAUCGGAUACGGAUACGUCUCCAUUUUAGAGUAUGAGGGCUUCAUACAUGACCCUAGAAUUCAUUCUAACACUUAAAAAUCAUUUCUAAUGUCUACUUUUGUUUUUGAUUCAACUUAUGAAUAUUGAAUAUUGCCUAGCACAAGAAGUGCACAGGCUACUGUUACAGGAGGCAAAAACAAGUAGUACAGCGGCUGAAUGGGGCAUUACAAACAUGCAAACCAAAAAUAAAACAAAACUAAGCACAAGGACCCCUCCCAACAUGCUGAACUACAACGCAGGAAAAUCCCCUGCCAUAACAGCUGAUACGGUCACAACAGAGACCCUACAGCAGAUCCAAAAAGAAAGCCACUUUCAUCUCCUAUUUAAACAUUCUUUAGGAUUUCAAGUCCACUCGUAAAAGAGAAAGGAAGCUAUGUUAAGUCUACUCAAUACCCAAAACCAAGACACCACUUUAAUUUCAUCCACAAUCUCAUAAACAUCCUUUGCUUGAUCAUUAAAAAUUCUCGCAUUUCUUUUCUUUUAAAUUGAGAAUUUCAUUUACCACUUUUGUAUUCUAAAAUUAUGUAUAGCGCUUUGAAGGUUGAAGCGACUUUAAUCAACACGUUAUUCAAUCAACUUCCUAACCUUAAAAGUCUAUUACCAUAAGCACAUAUUAGGCUUUUAUAGGGUAUAGAUGCUCUAAUGUGUGAUUAUCACGGGAGAUGGUAAUAUACAAUCUUCGGUUAAUUAAGUAAAUGAUUCUUAUAAAUAUUUAGAAUUUUGUUUUUAUUCUCUACAAAAUAAAAUUGCAUUUUUUAGUUCUUAUACAAAAUUUUAUUAAUAUUUUUAGUCCCUAUAAAAUUUUUCCAUCAUCAUUUUUAGUGUAAAAAAUUUCCAUCAACAUUUUUUGUCUUUAAAAUGCUUAAGGAAAAUAUCGCAGAGACUAAAAAGUGUAAUUUUAUUUUAUAGAGAUUAAAAAUAAAACUGUGAAUAUUUAUAUAGUCUAAAAACUUAAUUAACCCUAAAAUAAGUUAUCAUUGAAAUUUAUCUCAUGUAACUUUUUAUAUGUUUCUCUUUUUGUUUGAAUGGUGAAAGAUUAGGUACAAAUUACCCCACAUGUAAAAAAAAAAAAAUGUCAAUAUGUGUUUUCCUUUUUUCAUGAUAAAAACUUAUGGGUUAAUUAAGUAAAUGAUCUGUGUAAAUAUUAAAAUUUUGUUUUUAGUUUCUAUAAAAUAAAAUCACACUUUUUAUUUCCAACAACAUUUUUAGUCCUUAUAAAAAUUUUCUAUCAACAUUUUUAGUCCCUGUACAAAAUUUUGCAUUAACAUUUUUGGUCCCUAAAAUGCUUGAAUAAAAAGGUUAAUUAUGUUUUAAUUAGGUCCCUAUAAAUAGGCGCGUUUUCAACGUUAGUCCCUACUUAAAUUUUAUUAAAUUUUUUGUCCCCAACGUUUUUUUCCGUUAGCAAAAUAAGUCCUCGUUGUUAAUUGUUGUUGAUUGAGCAAACGGUGAAGCACACAUGGAUGUCACGUCUGACUUUUUUUUUUUGUUAAAUAUGUUUUUAGUCCCUGUAAAAUUGAGGCAUUUUAAGUUUAGUCCUUACUUAAUUUUAAUAAUUGUUUUAGUUCUUACAAAAAUACUAUGCACUCAGUAUUAGUCCAUACUCAAUUCAAAUUUGUUCAAUUUAUGCUUAAACUCUUGUAUACUGCCACUAGUUUUGCAUGAAAUGGGAGCAUAUGGGUUGGUUCGAAUUAAUAUGGAAUUAUUUUCCCACGCUCAUUCAAUAUUUUGCCCAUGGUUAAUGAUAUUAGGUUCUAUUCAAAUAAUCUAUGCCAUUCAACAUCUUUUGGUCAACAUAAUUUUAAAAAAAGAAUAGCUUAUUCUUCGGUAUCUCAUAUGAGUUUCAUAAUUAUAGGAAUUGGUUUUAUAAGUGAAAUUGGGCUCAACGAGGCCGUUUUACAAAUAAUAUAUCAUGGAUUUAUUGGUGCUGCCCUUUUUUUCUUGGCAGGAACUAGUUAUGAUAAACUACGUCUUCUUUAUCUUGACGAAAUGAGCGGAAUGGCUAUCCCAAUGCCAAAAAUAUUCACGAUUUUCACUAUCUUAUCGAUGACUUCUCUUGCAUUGUCCGGCAUGAGUGGUUUGGUUGCCUAAUUGAUAUUUUUUUUUUGGAAUAAUUACUAAUCAAAAAUAUCUUUUCAUGAUGAAAAUAUUAUCAUAACUAAUUUUAGUAGAUUUUUUAGUCCCUACAAAAAAAAAAUUACUUCUAAUUUUAGUCUAUGCUAAAACAAAGUUUGUUUAAUUAUUCUUAAACUCUUAAAUUUUUGAACGGUUUUUUUUAGACAAGUUUAGAACACUGUGAAAGGUUCAAUUAUUAAAAUUUAGAUUUUUUUAACAUAAAACGAAUUAAAUAUGAAUUUUUGAAAACGAUAAAAGUUAAAGAUAAAAGUAAUAAAUCUGGACAUAUCAACUAAAUUUUGCGAUAAUUUUUUGCGGAUGAACUUUUAGUAAUGUUCUUAACACGUCUACAAAAAAUUGUUAAAAAACUUAAGAGUUUAAGCAUAAAUUAAACAAAUUUGAAUUGAGCUGAGACUAAUACUGAAUGGAUAGUAUUUUUGUAAGGACUAAAACAACUAUUAAAAUUAAGUAAGGACUAAAAACUUAAUUAACCCAAAAGCUAAUACCGCCAUGAGCCUAGGACUACACAAUAAUGCAAAUAUAUUUUCUCCCUUCAAUGUCUCUCUCAAUUGUGAAAUUUCAACAACAAACCAAAUAACCUAAUUUCUUUUAUAUGACUUAUAUGAAUUACGUUGAUUUUGUGGUGUGUUGUAUUUUAUUAAAUGAUGUAUUUUUAUUAUUUAUUAGAAUAUGUGGGGUUCAUAUAACAAUGCAUUGCAUUGUUAUAUAACGGUCAACAAAGAUCCUUGACAUCAAAUAAAGACACAGAAAAUUACAUAACAUCUGAUUCGGAUUUAUGUUUUCGGAAAUCACUAACAACCUGAUCCGAUUAUGUAAUCCGAAUCAAGGGUAUUUUAAUAAAUUUUGCAGGGUGCGCGAGAAGGCAGCCGAAUAGAAAAAGUACUAGUCUAUUUUGAAUUUGCAGUUGAGCUAGCGAAAGUUGAAAGACAAGAGGGGACAUAAUGAGAUGCGACUGAUCGGCAUCAAUAAGCAAGCGAUAGAUGGAUGUAAAUGUAUACAGAAGAUUGAAAGCAAAAGAAUUGAUUAUCUACAAAAAAAAAAUAUCUACAGUAUAAUGAUUUUCCAAAAAGAUUAUGCAUCAUAGUAACUACUACUAGGCUACUGCUUCUGAAGCCAGUCAUUUGAGUACUACAACCAUUAGGUUGCAAAAUUUCAUUACCCAGUCCAAUACAAUUUACCUAUGUACGCCGUAAAUAGGUCGUUAUUUACAUUUUCCCCUACCACACCCCCAACACUCUAACACAUAAUAAAAUAAAGGUUUACUAAUUAAUGUUUUCCUUAGAAUUUGUGACCAGGUCUAACACAAUUUUUUAAAAAUUGACUUGUAAAUUCAAAAUCACCUCUAUUUAUAAAUUUAUUGUAUCAUCUGUUAUCUGAUGAGAGAAUUUAUAACACCUCUUAAAAAAAUUAUUAAUCAAUUUUUUUUACGAACUAAUCAAUUUUUUUUACAAUGGGUGCAUGUAAAGAGUUUCUAUAGUCAUUGUGAAUCAAUGAUAUUUUUUUAAGGAAAAUGUUAACCGUGCCUUCAAAGCACUGAUUAAGGAAUUAAGAAAGAAAAUAUUUUCUUGAAAGUUAUGUAUUCUAUUUUUUACAAGUUAUAAUAUUACUUUUUUUAAUGUAAAUUAUUGUUUUUUCUUAGAAAUCCUGGAAACACCGAUUAACAAGACCUUUCUUUUAAGGGGUGCCAAUCAAUACUAUGCAUCCAAUUAUUUUCAAUAUUUUUUUCACUAUUUAGUUUUUAAAUACAAAUAAAAGUUCAACAAAUGUUUUUGAUGUACUUGUACCAAAUUCUAAAUUCAAAAACAUAAAUUCUCAAUUUUGGAGAUUUUCAAUCAUUGGAAUUUAUUUUAUUGCUGCUUAUGCAUCAACAAAAAUAGCUGUAUUUUGUCAAAAAUUUGAAUCAAAUAGAUAAAAAAAAAUUGAUCAAAUAUAUUUGUCAUCACAAUUUUGAUACAUAAGCAACAAUAAAACAAAAAUUCAUUUUAAAAUGGAGGAUAUUGUUUUUUGAAAAUCCUAUUAUUAGAAUCUGUCCAUGUUACGUUGUCUGUGCAGUUGCAGUAGGUGUUGUGUCAUUUGACAUUAGACAUUUUAUUUAUUUAUUUAUGCAAUGGAACAGAUAUAGUCCUAGCUUAGGUUUUAGUAGCUGCUGCUGGCUAUGGAAAGUUUUUCUGGUAGAAACUUCUCUAGCACUAGCAGUUUAAUGAUGGUUUCGCUGACCAGUAGUAUCAGUGAUUGAAAUCAAUGUGUUGGAAAAGAACGAUUGUAGUUCAAUUUUCCACAUAGUCGAGCGACUGAAAUCAGUGGAAAGAUAGAUAGAUACUAAUGCUGUGUUUGGUUGGUGAAUGAAAGUGAAAGGAAAGGAAUGAUUAUAUCAAAAAAGAAAGAGAGUAGAAAGUAAGAGGAUUGUUAUGAUUGUUUGGUACAAGAGAAAGUAGAAUAGAAAGUAAGAGGAAAGAAUGAUCUAUGUUCAAUAAUUGACAUAAAUACCCUUCUAUAGAAUUAUUAAUAUAUACAAUAUAUCUUAAUUAAAUCUUAAGUAAACUUUUUAAAAUUUUCAAUUAAACAAUAUUAACAACAAUUUUCCAACUUUAUCUUGAGUACAUGAUAUUCUAACAUUUUUUUUAAUGACAUGAUUUUCCAACUUUAAAUACAAGAAUUUUAACCGGCAAAACGACAGUAAUUUGUAGAUAAUUUUUAAUGCGCUGCAGUUUAAAAAAUAUAAUAUUUUACUUAUUUGUUCAAAAAAGAUAUAUUUUGCUUAUGCAAUGUUGUCUCAGCAUUAUAUAUUGUUUUGUUAGGGACAUCAUAUAUUGUUUUUUUAGGAAUUUAAUACCAAUGUAUACAUUGUUUAUUCUGGAAAAAAAAUGCGUUACAUAUUGCUAAUAUUACAUUAAAUAGGGUUAUUUUUAUCUUUUUCAAUAAAAUAUGGUCUCCACUUUUGUUUACGUCCAAUCCAGCAAAGAAAAGAUUUUAGCAUGAGUCCUGCCUAAAACUUUCUUUCCUUUCUUUUUUGCAGGGUUCCAAACUAUAGAAAGUGAAUAAUAUCUUGUUCAGCUAUCAAUUUUUGAAGUGCAUGAUAAAAAUUGGAUUCAACCAAUAGAAUAUUUUCACCGGGUCAACAAUUAGAUGAUUGGUUGAACCGUCUAACAAAACUGAAUUGAACUUAAAAAAAUUGAUGGUUGAUCAUAGAUCAAGUAUCUUCAACGAGUUUUGUUCAACUAUCAAUAUGUAUGCACAUGAUCUUAAUAAAUUGUUCUGCGGAAUUCAAAGAUUCAAUCAAUCGGUUUUGUCAUGCAGUUCGAUCAAUUAUUUAAUAAUUCGAGCAACAUCACCGAUCCAAUUUUUAAAACAUUGAUUCAUUUAUCAUUCGCGUAUUUUUGUGUAAUAAAGAAUCAAAUUGUGAGAGUUUUUAUUUUUUAUUUUUUUAUAAAUAUUAGUUUGUUAAUAUAUUAUUAAAGAAGGAAAAUUUUAGUAGUUAUGGAUGAAACUGUAUCUCCUUCAGGGUGUGUUUGGUUUAGAAGAGAAGUUAUGAAGAGAGAGAUAGGUAAGAGAGAAGUUGUGAAGAGAGAAAAAGGUAAAAAAUAAGGUAGAUUUAAUGAGUUGUUUGGUAUAAGAGAAAGAAGAGAGAAAUAGAAGAGAAAAAGAAGCUACUUUUUUUUAAAAGACAAAAAGACAAAAAUACCCUUGAAUUAAAACUAAAAUAUAAUUUAUUGGUUCUAUAUAAUUAAUUUUUUUAAGGAUAUAAUCAAAUUAUUAUUAACUGAUGUAAAAAUAUCCUUUAAUUCAAUCUUAGACAAAAUUAGUUUAUAUAAUUUAACAAUCUAACUAACUUAAAGUGUAUUUUAUAUUUUCGAAACACAAAUUUGAGCACCGCUGUUCCCACAAAAAAAAAAAAAAAAAAGAGCACCGCUAUGGCUUGUUGUUGGUUCAGCCUCAUUUAUUUAUUUUUUUAUAAUACACACGUCAAGUUUUCUUUUUUUUGUAUUUGUUGAAAAAAAAUGGGUUUGGCAUUUUCAUCCCAAAAUUCAUUAAAAAGAAUUAAAAUUGCAUAAGUAUGAUGAAUUUGUAGUGGCAUAAGUGUAAACUUACCAUCUCUACGUCACUCCUCUACAUUUCUUCCCUUAAUUGAAGAGAAGCAAAAAGGUGGUAGGGUCCACCUAUUUUUAUUCUCUCUUCACAAACUCUUUCCUAUCCAAACAAGAGAAGUUUGUUACUUCUCUUGUAUUUCUCUCUUCACUAACUCUCUCUUCUUUAACUCUCUCCAACCAAACAGAGUGUCAAUGUUCCAACCUUUUAACCAUUAGAUUACACGUUUGAGUAGAGGAGCGUUAGAGUGGCGAAGCCCUUGAUGGGGCCCAUCCGGAAAAAUUUAAAAAUUAACGAUCCUAUGUCUAUUUUGUGAAAGAUUAUACAACUUUGUGUCGGUUUUAGAAUUCAGUUGGUCUAAAUUCCCGCAAAGUGGUGCAGUGGCCCAUCCGAAAAAUUUAAAUAAUUCAAUUAUAAAUCUAUUUUGCGAGACUUUAAACAAUUUUUUAACCGUUAUGGUUUUCCCCGAUUUCAAAAGUGGCAUAUGUGAUUUUUGUGAUGCUUAUACCCAUGUUAGCGAAGGCUUAUAAACGCACAAAUUUGCAUGGGUUUCAAAUCUCCUGCAUAAUAUCCAUUAACAAAUUUGCUUGAUGCUUAUUACAACUUUAAUUUGUGUUUAUAUAUUAUAAUUAGGGUAUAUUCAAUUAGGAUUUUAAAAGACAAUUUUUAUUUAAAAAAGUCUUGAAGAUUUUGAAAGACUUUGUAGGAUUUUAAUGACCUUUAUGAAAGACUAUUAGGAUUUAUAAUUUGGAUUUCAAUGGAUUUACGUCAUAAAAUUUUAAAGGAUUUGAAAUGAUUUUAUGAAUUUACUAUAAGAUUUCAAAAGAUUUUAUUAAUUUUAAGGACUCAACAUAGUCUCUAUCAUAAUAUUCUCAAUACAAAACUCUGACUAAGCAUGUUUCAUGGAAUUUCAACACAUUCCAAAGUUAUAAGAUUGGAAUAAAAAGUUAACAUGUUUGUUAUCAUGGAACCAACGGUUUGUUCCCAAGAAAUAAAUUUUGCCUAAGUUGUUUGGCUUUCUAUUCCCCUCCAAUUGAAGCUAUUCAAAUUAUACAAUUCAAAUCCUAUAACAAACAUGGUUCCAUGAUAAAUGACCCAUUCAUAUUUUUUAUUUUUUUUUGUCCUGUAGUGUAUUCAGAAAAUUGAGAAAAAAUUUCAAUUUUGUUUCCAAAGGGAGUCGAAGCAGGAGCCUAUGAGACAUUGCUUUUCUGUUUUGCCACUAAGCAAGCGUACAUUUGAUAUUAAUUUUCGCAUCCAAUAAUAUAUAUACCAUUUUUAAAAUCAGAUUCACACACCAUGAGGCAUGAACCAUGCAACUUUUUCAUUUUUGUUUUUUUAUUGGAUAAUUUAGGAUCUCCGACGAAAUAUAUUUUGAUAAAAUAUCCGACUAAUAUAUAUAUAAUUUAUCGGUGAAAAAUUAUCCGACAAAAUAUAUAUAUUAUUAUCCGACAAAAUAUAUAUUUUUCACCGAUAAAUUAUCUGACGAAAUGAUAUAUAUAUAUAUAUAUAUAUAUAUAUAUAUAUAUAUAUAUAUAUAUAUAUAUAUAUAUAUAUAUAAAAAAAAAAAAAAAAUAUAUAUAUAUAUAUAUAUAUAUAUAUAUAUAUAUAUAUAUAUAUAUAUAUAUAUAUAUAUAUUCAAAAUAAAAUCUAGAUUUUGUUCAUAUUCGAGUAAUUUUUCAAAAUAAAAUCUAGAAUCCAAUUAAAAUUAUAAAAUCUCCUAUAUAUUAUUGGAUGCGAAAAUUAUCAUCAAUAAUGCGAAAAUUUUUCACCCUAUAUUUUUUUUAUAAGACUUAUAUUAAAAAAACAAAAAUGAAUUAUUUUUUUGAGGGAACACAAAUGAAAAAUUGGUUGGUUCAUGCCUCAUGGUGUGUGAAUCUGGUUUUAAAAAUGGUAUAUAUAUUAUUGGAUGCGAAAAUUAUCAUCAAAUGUACACUAGUUUAAUGGCAAAACAGAAUAGCAAUGUCCCAUAGGCGCCUCGUUCGACUCCCUCUGGGAGCAAAAUUGAAAUUUUUUCUCAAAAAAAAAAGUGAAAGUAGGUCAUUUAUGUCAUUAAUUCUCAUAUGGGGUCUAAAGUGGAAUUGAUUUGAGAAACAGGGUCAGAAAAAAAAUUCUCCCGAAGAUGUUGAAGCUAUUCAAAUUAUACAAUUCAUUUAAAAACUAUUUAAAUUACAAUUUUAUCUAUACCUAAUUACAGGUUGUUCAAGAUAGGGAGAAGAGAGAGGGAGGAGAAUUUGUUCUUGCUACACCCAAACUUUUUUUAUUGGUGUCUCUUUUUUUCUUUCUUUUUAAACGUGAAUUCAAUCGCGGCAAGAAGAUUGCGAUGGUAGAGCAACAACUGAGGCAACAAGAAGACACAUUCAAUGGUAAAUAAACAUUGUUGUAAAUUUGAAGUAUAUUUUAAAAACUUUAAAAAUAUUUUGAUUCAUAACUUUAAAUGCGAAAUAUGGGAAAAUAUGUUUAUUACAAAAAUAUUUAUUCUUCUUUGAUUUAUGGUAAAAUUUUGAACCAAAUUACAGAAGUUGAUGCUCUUUUUCUUCUGAGCUAAAGUUGAUACCCACCAAUUUUGUUUGGCUGGUUACAUUGUUUCUCUGGUGGAUCGAGAGUUUGGGAUGCCCUCCUGAUUAGGUCAUGUAGUCUGGUGGGCCAUUCGCUUUUGAUUCGAGAUCGAGAGUCAGUUCUUUGGUUCAAUUUUUGAUUUUGGGUAUUUUUUCGGCGGACCGGAGGUUGAGAGGUGGUGGGAGUUGAUUGAUCUGUAGAAUUGGCUCAACUUUGGUGAUAAGGACAUAAUGUUUAUUUAGAGGGGUGUUAUUUUGGGAAGAGUAGUGGCGAUGUUGAUUAUGGAUAACGUGUUCCAGUGGUCGUUUCGUGAAGAAGUCUGUUUUAGAUGGUGAUUUUAUUUUGGUGGGUGUUGUCUUCAGGGGUCUUUUAUGAUGUUUUAUUUUCGGGUGUUCCGCCUAUAUACAACGUCUUUUGUUUGUAUUAUCUGAACCACCGGUCUUUAUUCGUCUUGAGUAGGGAUCUCAUUUUUAAUAAAAUUUGUAGUUAAAAAAAAAGGGGGGGAUAUUAAUUUACCUCCAUGCAAAAACAUUAAGUAAAUUAACAUUCACUUAAAAUCAUUGAGCAAGUUUUUUUUGACUAGGUACAAAAAUAAACUAGCCUGUGGAGAAAAAAAAUAUAUAAGGGGGUUGCGAAAUAAAGACAAUAAAUCUUUUUUUUUUCUUUCCUAUAACUACACACAUUCUUGUGAUAUGAGACAUAUUAGAAACACUUUCUUUUUAAUAUUAUCUUUAUAUUGAGUAAGUUUCUUAAAAAAAAAAAAAAUCAUUGAGCAAGUUUUUUUUGACUAUGUACAAAAAUAAACUAGCCUGUGGAGAAAAAAUAUAUAAGGGGGAUGCGAAAUAAAGACAAUAAAUCUUUUUUUUUUCCUCCGACUACACACAAUCUUGUGAUAUGAGGCAUAUUAGAAACACUCUCUUUUUAAUAUUAUCUUUACAUUUCACUUUUUAUUGGGUUAAACUCACGUGGCUUUCACCACUUUAUACGAAAUCAUUUACAAAUUGUAAAAUUCAUGUAAAUUUCAUCUAAUAAGGAAAUGAGUAUUAAAGAAAGUAUUCAUAUCACUCACCUACUUGUGAUACUUUGACAAUAGUAAGCAAGAGUUUAGAUUUGGCUUAAAUAUGUAAAAGGUCCCUGUAAGUUUGCGUGUUUUUGGUUUUCGUCCUUGUAUUUUUUUUUUUCUAACACAAACCCUGUAAGUUGUGAACAUUUUGGUUUUAGUCCCUAACGUUAACCUCUGUUAGAAAAACGCUUAGUUGGCAAACGGAGUCACACGUGGCAAUCGCUGACAUGACAAAACAUGCUUAUGUGUACUGACAGAUCAUAAGUGACUAGAUUUGAGAGACCAAAACCAAAAACGUAAAAGUGCAAAGGGAUGAAAUUGAAAAAACAUAAAAAUCAAAAUUUAAAAUUUAAAAAGUAGAUCUUCUUCAUCUCUCUGUUUUUUCUUCUUCAUCUCCAACCUCAUUUUCUUCAUCUCUAACAACAGAUGGUAAUAGUAAAAUGGGGAUUGGGCUUUUUGAGGAGAUAGAGAGGAAUAAAGUGAAACCUGAUAUUUUAAAGAAGGGAAGACUAAGAAAGCUGCUUAUAUGGUAAAGGAUGUUCAUAAGGGGAAUUGGUAGCAAAUGCGUCUACUUUUUCUUUCUGCUCUUAUUGCUGGACACAGUUUUGAACGUCGUUUAAUUGUUUAUGGAAACAUGGUGAGGAGUGUUAGGAAUAUUUACUUCGAUAAUUAUUCAUUAUUUUGCUAUACAAAAUUAGAAGAAAAAUUGCUAUACAAAAAUUUGGCAUCUUCUUUAAAUAUAGGCAUAUAUGAUUUUGUUAUAAUUCAAAUGAUUAUAUACUUCCCUGCAAAUGAUUAUACAUAUCGGUGAUAUCACAAGACUAUAGUCAACAACUUGUGUAAAAUCAAUUGAAAGAGGAAUUGCUUUGUGGGCAGCACAAUUUGGAUUUGCAGCUAUAUAUCGGAAGAAGACAUAACAACUCUAUAGAAAUCAAUAAAAAGGAAAGAGAGAAGAUACACACCGAAGAAGAAAACAAGUCGACGCUAGAAUGGUUCUAUGCGCUAUUAGGAUUGUGUUCUGUUUUGUGGAAUGUGUUGGUUUUAAUAAUUUGGUCUUUCAAUUUUUCACCCUUAGAUUAAAUUAAUGUUUGGAUUUUAUUGUUGAGAGGAUUGAGAGAAAAUACAGAUUUAGAGGAUCCGGAUCCUCACCUAAGAGUUAGCAAUGGAUGAUGAAGACAUUCUUAGGCGUGUAAUUACAAAGAUGAGGAAGAUGCAGAAGGAAGAUAAAGAACUUGGAAGUGAGGAAGUGAGGAUUGAGGAAGAAGAUGGAAGAGAAAUUGGUUUUUAAUUUAAAUUUUUCGUGACUACCGUCUUUUUUUGGAUUUAGUCCCUCUCGUAAUUUUCGUUUUUGGAUUUGGUCCUUUGAAUAUGGUGACUGGUCACAUGGAUGGACACAUCAACCAAUUUCGCCACGUCACAGUUCGCCACAUCAGCCUCCGUUAGCCACAUGUGCGUUUUUUUAACGGAUGGUGACGGCAGGGACGAAUUUCAAAAAGUUAAGAAAAUACAAGGGUUGUUUCGCAACAAAAAAACUUACAGGGACUAAAACAAAAAACGCGCGGACUUUCAGGGACCUUUUUCUUAUUUAAGCCUUUAAAUUUUCUUUAUCAUGGAGGACUAAUGCUUAUGAGGCUGAGGCAGAUAAAUUCUUAAGAUAGGUGAUGAAGUCACACCUCAUGUUUUUGUAUAAUUGUUUUUUAUUUGCAGAAAUAUAGUUCGAUAUUGUUGAUUGCUCAUGAAUUGCACGUGAGUGGCUUCUGGUUUGUGAUUGAUGAUACACAUGUAGAGUUCGAGAUGAUUGUAAUUGUUCGUUAUUUGUAGAGACUGGACAAAUAUUACAACACAUAGUCGAAUAACAAAGAGACGUAAUGACUUUUUUAUAUAUAUAAAAAAAAUCAUAGACAUAGGUUUGUUUGGAGGUGUGUAUGAGGAUUCAAUUGGCUCAUUCGAGGUGCUUUAUUUUUGUCUCAUUUUUUCAAAUGUUAAUUCAAUGGUGACAAGAAAAUUGUAAUGGAGUGAGAACAUCUAAGGCAACUUAAAGACACAUUUGGCUUUGGUGAAGAGGGAUAUUAUGGGGUAGAAAUAACAACACAAUCGACUAACAAAUAGACACAAUGAAUGGCCUUUGUUAUUUUUUCUAAAAAAAAAAUGUUGGCAUCUUCACAUAGGCUAAAAAAUGUGGUCGUCAAAAUGAAGGGGAUUCCAAAAUACAAAUCAUUAAAGGUCAAAAUUGCUUGUUUUAAAAAUCGAGGUCAAAAUUGUCUAAUGGCGAUGCUUGAUGAGCCAAAUAUGUAAUUAAGUCUAGUUAAUUUUAGAAACUAAUUUGUCACUUAAAUUUGUGAGACAAUUAUCUGAACUCUAAGAUUUAAAGUACCAUAACGAUGAUUUCAAACUACUAUUAUAUCAGUCUACUAUAUUUCUCUGAAGAUUAUCCAACCAUAAAACAGAUCAGCAUGCAGUCGAAUAAUCAGCCAAAAAAUAAAACAAAAUAAGACAUGCUUAUUACAGAAAUUCCAGGUGCAGAUAACUGGUUUUCAGGAAACUACAAAUUUAUCCUGAAAUUGGCAAAAAACAAAAUAAUUUUUUUUAACAACUUUAUUUUAUAGCAUGUAUCGAAAAAGGCUAUGAACUAAUUUAAUUAUAACCGACAAAGAUUCAAUAACAAGAAGUAUCAUAAAUACAUGCUAAUAUAUAUCUUUAAUUAACAAUAAGGAAGAAUGUCUAAAUAAGCUCUCUCGACACUUUCUCUCCGCUAUAUAACUUCAAACCAAUGAAAUCUUAGUGCUACAUUUAAAAAGUUCUACAGCAAAAGUCUUUGGAGCUAACUGGCUGUUCACAAUUAGCAUAUAAUGAACAAUUACAGGACUACACUUUUAUAUAUUAUGAACUCAUUAAUAAAUAGCCUCAAUGACGUAGAGAGAACAAAAUUUCAAUUAAUUUAGAUUCAGUGUUCUACAUGAAGAGAAGACAAGCCUGGCAAUCAGGGCCUGAAAGCAGAAAAAGCCACGACAGAGUUGUGUCCACCGAAUCCAAAUGAAUUUGAAAUGCCUGGAAAAAAAGGCCAGUUAGUUAGCAGUCCAAAUUAUGAUCUUUAUCAUGUGAAAAUGAAAAAUGCACCGGUCGCUGAAUUAUUUAUAAUCUUACCAACAUUAAUUUCAUGCUGCUGCUUGACAUUUGCCACCGUAUCAAAAUCAACUGCAGGUUCUGGAUUCUGCACUCAAGACCAAGGCAAACAGAAUGAUUAUGAAAAGAUAACAUCUAAUUAACAAUGAAACCUAAAACACGUCUUUUAGUCUAACGUCCAUCCCAAUUACCGAGCAAUGAAAACAACAAGACUUGACUUCUCAAUAAUAACACGAUAGUCAAUAUAUCAGCACAACAAAAAGAAUCCAGGUGAAUAAAAAUAAAGGGAAAAACCCAUUUGGGGUUGGCCUAGUGGUUGACUUGGGAUCUUGGAGUUUGCUCCUCCAAAGGUCUCAGGUUCGAUUCCCUCUGGUGCCAAUUUCGGUGGGCUAAGUCCAUACAGAGCUUGCUCUGACUUUAAAAGGCCCCCCCGCAAGUGGGCGGUGGGAUUGAUCCCCUCGGAUUAGUCGGUCCUUGGAUCGGAUAUCGAGUUUUCAAAACAAAAAAAAAUAAAAUAAAUAAAGGGAUAAAAUACGGACAUUGAUUAAUACUCCCAUUGUCUCCUUUUAUUUGUCAUUUAAGACAAUGGACACACAGUAAAGAAAUCAUUAAUUAUACUUCUUUUUAAGAGAAAAAAAAAAUGUCCCAUCUAAAAUGUCCUUAUUGUAGCAAGAGCAAAAUGAAAGCUAAAAAACAGGUUGAGGUACCGAUAAAUAAGGUUAUUAUUGAACGGAAAAUAAUUAAUAUUUUACUGAUAUUCUAAAGUGAACGAUAAUUUGAGACAAGCCAUUAUUGAAAGAUAAAAUGAGACAGAGGGAGUAACGAGCAAGGAUCCUCUCCAUUUAUGAAAAUAAAGGGAGGAUGCCAUUUAGAAAGAGAUACACACAAAAUACGAUGUGGGUCCUACCACUAAGUGGGACCCACCAUCAUUAAUUAUUUUUUACUUUUUUCAAAACUUUGUGUCUUUAUUUCUCCAAAUGGAAGAAAUGGAGGACAUAAAUGGAGAGGAUCUUGACUUGGGAGUAACAACAAUUUAUCUACCAAUAAUAAAUGCCCGUGCACUCAGUUGAUUCUAACAAAGACACAACAAUCCUAAUCCUGAAAAACAAAGAAUUAAAUAAACGUACGAAUUGAUUGAUUGAUGGAUGUAGCCAUCCUGUUGUUAUGGCUUUCACCGUGGCAAUAGCUUCCAAACCCCCAGCUGCACCAAGACAGUGACCUAUCAUAGACUGAUAUCACACAAGAACGUAUGCAUCAGUUAAUGGCCAUGGAAUUGAUCAACUAUAACCUACUAUAUGAUUUAGAAGGCAGAAAGCUUUCACCAGCAAAUAAGAGCAAAUGACAUGCUAAUAAUACCUUGGUGGCAUUUAUUUUGAUGCCAGAAGUGUCCUUGAAAACCUUUUUGAUAGCAUUAAUCUCCGCCAAAUCACCAGCAAGAGUGGAAGUUGCAUGUGCAUUUAUGUAGUUGACCUGAAAAUAAGAAAAUGGCAUACUUUCACUAUGCUAAUUUUUUGUACGCAUUGAUCAGAAAACUAAUCCAAUGUUAAGACUGAUUUCUACAACUAACAUAUCAACAUGCAGCAAUCAACUAACAAAUUGUCUCUCCCUCCAAUUCAUUCACAAAGCAUCUCUUUCUUGCCUUUUCUCUUUCCUCUCCUCCCAUAAAUCAUCCAACUCUAUCAUAAGAAUUCUGUCCCUUUCCCCACACCCCCUGCCGCACGUGCAAGCAAUUGCACCUUAUUUUCACAGCUGGUAUUGUUUAAGUGAGCUGUCAAUUUCAGUUAUACCCGUUUUAUGGGUGGUUACCUAAGAAUACAAACACGCACAGUUUCACCUUGUCCUUGAGGUAUAAAUCAAGAAAUUUUUCAUAUCGCUAAAAUAACAAGAGUUCAUUUUGGAAAUAGUUUCAUUCUGUUCUGAGCAUGAACCAAAUUCUCCUUUAUUUCAUCAAGAAUAUGGUUUCUCUCCACAAUAUUAGCAAUGCCUUCCACCAUGGAAAUGUGUCCAGUUUUUCUCACUAAAUUCGGUGGUUUCAUCUCUCUACCAUACAAGGCUGAAACAGGAAUGGGUUUACAGGAGCUAUUUAAUUUUUUGCUUCACUAGAACUCAAAUCAGGUGAGCCAUCUUUGUCGUUCAUAAUUGUUGUAAGUUCUUCCUUCACCUUUCAACCCUUAUCCCAGGAAUUUUGAUUCAUGAUUCCAGUUUUGAUGCCUUAUACCAGAGGCAGAGCUAUCCCACUUCCCUCCAUCUAUAUAUCGAUCGUUUGCAGCACCCACAAUUGGGAGCUCUAACACCAGUUGGUAAAAACUGGACCAAAAAGAAAAAUGAUAAUAGAACGUAUAAUGUAUGUAUAACCCAGGCACUGAUAACAGUUUAAGCACCCUGAAUUACAAGAGAAAAACCAACAGAAAUGACUAAAAUCGAAUGAAAUUAGUCAGCCCAAGGCUUUUUUAGAGGCCUUAGCUUUUCUCUUCAAUGCACUCACCGUGCAUAUUUUUCUAGCAUUUUCUCUUCCAUCUCCCUAUUUAUCAUAGGAUUAAAUGCCAACACCAGACCCAUAGUCCCUCUCAUACCCACACCCCAACACCAUGUGUGCAGACCGCUUCACAUGUAUACUUUUCAAGCAUUAUGUGCAUCCUAAUUUAUGUAAUUGGAAGACUAUAUGAACCUAACUUCUUCACAUCUAUUUAUACAGAACUCAAAUCAUAGAAAAUCUUGUAAACCUACUUGAAACCAUAACUACAUAGCAGCAGCUAUACAAGAGAUGUUUGCUAUUUUUCAUGCAUGCCAGAUCAUCCCCCUAAUGUAUCGUGUACUAAAAUAUGUUGAAAACACGCAUCCAGUAUUGCAAGCAAACAGAAAUGUAGAGUCGGCCAGAAAGGAAAAACAUGCUGAAGGAGAAAAAAAAAAGAAUUAAAUGGGAGAAUUGAGACCAACAACCAUUUAAAUAGAUAAUGUUAGCAACAAAAAGUGUAAGCCGGGUAAAGAGAAUGAAACGGUACCUCCUCAGGAGACACACCGGCGUCUUCAAGGCUGCUCUGGAUGCAUGUAGACACGCCGAGUCCGUCAGAUCUUGGAUCAGUCAUGUGAUAAGCAUCACAGUUAACAGCACCUCCCAAAUAUUCAGCAAUAAUAGGUGCACCUCGCUUCAUGGCAUGUUCCAGGCUUUCCAAUACCUGUGAAGUUAUAGUACUCUCGUUACAAUAUAGAAAUUAGCUUAAAUAGGACCCAAAAAAACAGGACACACACAACAUGGCUACUUCUUAAACACUUCAAAGAUGCAAGGUUUAGAAUUAUUCUUUUUUGGAUCAUGUACAAAGGAAAAGAUAAUGCUGUUACAAUGCUCACAAUAGUAUUAAAAAUAGAUCAUCUUAAGAAGCAAGUAUAGCAGUAGCAAUUGCAAUUGAAUUCUACUCAAUCAUGAAUUUUGUGUAUAUUUUUACUCAAAUGUUAGUAUUUAGUUGUUAGAUUAAUUAUUUAUUCAUUUGUCUGAGUUUGAACUCAGGACCUCCAACACCUUAACCCUUGAGCUGCCCAACUCCCCAUAUUGUUAAUUAAGGUAACCAACAACAUCCAAUCCAAAACAAUAACAAGAAAACAUUAAAGACGUUGAGAGAAAUAAAUCCUUACCAAAACUCCAGAACCUUCACCCAUAACAAAACCAUCACGUGCUUUAUCCCAAGGCCUAGAAGCAGUUUUAGGGUCAUCAUUUCUCUGAGAAAGUGCCCUACAAGCAACAAAACCACCCAAACCAAUCGGAAUAAUCGCAGCCUCAGUCCCACCGGCGAUCAUCAAAUCAGCCUCACCUCUACGAAUGUGAUUGGCAGCAGCAUAAAAACAAUAAUUUGAAGUAGCACAAGCAGUAGAAAUAGAAUAAUUUGGACCCAUAAAACCUAAAUCAAUCCCAAGCAAAGCUGAACCCAUAUUUGUAAUAGCAUAAGGAAUAAAAAAAGGUGUUAUCUUUCUAUAUCCCUUUUCAAUCAAAUUCUUAACUCCUUCAGAAAAUACAGUUAAACCACCCAUUCCUGACCCAACCAAAACACCAGCACGUUCCUUAUCAAUCUGCAAAAUCAAAAUUGAAAAUCCAAUUUAAGGUUUAGUGAGAAAAUCAAAUAAAAAAAAAAAAGUGUGAAAUGAACAAAACGAGACAAACCUUGGAUAAAUUUGCAGCACCGAGAUUAGCGUGUUCGAGUGCUUUCUUACCGGCGACAAUGCAGUACCGGAGACAAUCAUCGAGUCUCCGGUCAUUCUUCCCGUCAAUGUAACCCUCAGAACUGAAGUCACGGAUCUGACCAGCGAAUCGAGUUGGGAAUUUGGAAGCAUCAAAUCUAUCAAUGGAAGUGAUACCACUCUCACCAGCGAGAAGCUUAUCAUAGUAAGCAUCAACGUCAUUUCCAAACACCGAAGCAAGACCCAUACCGGUAAUCACAACACGCUUCUUUGGAUCCUUUUCUCUUUGAGGCGCAGUGGUGGUGGUGACCGCGGCGGAGAUACGAGUAACUCUCUUUGUUUUGGCGGUGGCGGUGGCGGCAUUGGAGGAUUUACGGCGAAGUGGUUCGAGCGGUGAAGGACGGAGAGUGGAGGGAAGUUGUUGUUGAAUCUGAACUGAUUGCAUUGUAAGUGUUUGAUGAAAUGACUGACACUAACUGACGGAGAGUACGAAGAAGGUGAGUGAGUGUGAAUGAGUGUGUAAUGUAAGGUAAGAUAGUUAGUACUAACAAGUUGUUGGUAUUUAAUGUAUUUUGACGGUAAUAACUAUGUUUUCUUCUGCAUUGGAAAUUUCGGAGUUCAUAAAUAUAACGGCAACUUUGACAUGUCCACCACUUCUUUAGGUGGUUCAUAAUAGAUCAACUACCCCAUUUAAUUUUUUCUAACUAGUAGGGAUUCGUUAGCUCAUACAAUUUCCUCUCAUAAAAUAGAUUUUGACUAAUAUGCAUAAAUUUGUUUUCUAGUAUUGAAUCAGGAAAUUAGUCAUUUAAGUGUGUCUUUGGAUUGCCAUCACGUUUUCUCAAACCCCACAUUUAAAGUCACGUUAGCAGUGAAGUGAAGCUAAGUAUUGUAGCUUCGUGCUUUUAGCGUUUGAGGUGCAUUGGGGCGCAAGAAUGUCGUGAAAAAUGCUUUAUCAAAUAAGCUAUAAGCGUAUUUACCGUCUUUAAUUUGCGUAGAGAAAGGUGUUGACACUUUUCAUUUACGUGGUCUGGGUUUAUGGUUAGGUAUUUGAAAGCUAAAAGUUUCACAAAAAAAUAAACAAUCUUAUUUAGCGAAUGUGUUGUGGCUAUUUAAGUUUCCAUGUUUCCUUAAUUCUAUUCACCGAAGGAUUUGUUUAGAUGAAAUUUUAACUCGCAUAUCAAAACUAUUACGGCUUAACGAUCUAUUAAUUUGACAACAUGGGAAGGUGGUAGCAGUGUGGAAGCAAGGGCACUGUCUUCGUGCUUCAUCUCUAGAUUUACAUCGACAAUAUCCAAACAUGCAAGUUGGUCCCCAAGCAUUCAAUUUUAUUACACUUAGUGAAGAAGGCGUCAUCAAGCACUAGUAAAUACUCAAUAGUUGAUAAAUAUUCAACUCAUGUUGAUGUUGUCAAUAGUUAAUCCACUAGUCCAUUCCUUCGUAAAUGUCAAUCAAGCAUACCAGAUAGUGUGUUUCAGUACUUGUUGCAGGAGUUUGGUGUUUCAAUCCCACUUGAAAAUAGAAUGCAUCAUUUUUAUCCUUUCACUUCAUUCCACCCAUUUCUUCAAUCUUUCAAGCAACUUGGCAAUUUCUGGAUGAUCAUGCUAAUGAGAAGAAAGAACAACAUUGAUUCUCCACAUGUGAACAUUGAUACCGCAUCGCUUCCUCUAAAUUCCAGUUCUUCGUCAUGAUCUUGCUCCUUUUCAUUGUGCCUCAAGCAUCCAUUGCUCCAUCUCAAGUAUAUAUAUAUGCUCAUUAACUUCAUCUGUCAUAACCUUGUGUUAAUAAAAAAUAAGAUAUAAAGGUCAAGAUACUUUGUCCUCCUUUGGCAUAAAUAACCGUGUGGACACACUUUUGAGUUCUUUAACAAAUUAAAAGAAUGUCCACAUAUAUCUAUGUAUAUAAUAAAAACACAGAUCAAAAUAGAGAAACAUUCAAAGUAAAACACGAUUGAAAGUUUUUUUGAGAAAAUAUUAGAGACUCCACCAGCAACAACUUGCUUAUUUGUGCAGCAUCACAAUUCCCUCUUUUUUUCCCACUCUCUCCGGUCCCAUAUUAUAAGUCAUUUUCUUGGCAUGCACAAAGAAGUAAUUUGAUUUCAUUCGUCAUUGUUCUUGAUAAAAAGAACAAUACAGCAGAACAGCUUAUACACUAUGGUAAAGAAACUAUCUAGCUGAAACAGUUACAGAACUGACUAUUUAUAUUCUAAUUAAACUAUAGUUAAUAUAUAUAACACGACCAGAGCAUUGAACAUCAGCGGGGAUAGCUCAGUUGGGAGAGCGUCAGACUGAAGAUCUGAAGGUCGCGUGUUCGAUCCACGCUCACCGCAUUAUUAAAAUUUUUUCGCUUUCAACAGACUAAACUUUGAUUUUUUGGGCCCAACUCUUAGCCUUUGUUUGGUUGAAGAGAAAUACAAGAGAGAUAGUCUAUUUCUCUUGUUUGGAUUAGAGAGAAGUUGGGAAGAGAGACCCAUAAUUAGUGGAACCCACCACUUUUUUCAAUCUCCCCUGCCCAGAGAAGAAAGGGCAUUUUCAUUAGUGCCCCUUUCUCUUUUUCUAUAUUACACAUUUAUAUCAUUUCUAUGAUUCCUUCUUUUCCCAUUGAAUAAAUUUCUUCCUUUUCUUUUAUAUAAUUUUUUUUUUAAGUUUUAUAAUUUGUUGAUUAGUAAGAAUAAUUUUUUUUUUUUUUUAUGUAUCUUCUUGUGAAGUUGAAUAAGUUUAAUAAGAAAUCAAAUUCAAAAUAAAAAUUAUAUUGAGCUUUUCAUUUAAGGGUAUUUUUGUCAUUAUAAAAAAUAAACACACUUCUCUCUCUUCUAUUUCUCUUAAACCAAACAACACAUCAAAUCUACUCUAUUUCUCAUCUAUUUAUCUCUUUUCACACUCUCUCUCAUCUAUUUCUCUCUUUACAACUUCUCUCCCAAACCAAAUACACCUUUAAUUUAAUUUUUUAAGGGAAACUCUUAAUUUAAUUGACACUUCUAUAUAUAAAAGAUUUCCUUCAAAAAAAAAAAAACUUCUAUAUAUAAAAGAUAUUAAUUUUGACACUAAAAUCGGUUACUAAUAAAAUGUAAGUAUCCUUUCUUUAAAAAAAUAAAUAAAGAAAUGUGUUGUGUAUACUUUUUCUGCUAUGAGUAAACUAAACAACUAGAUUAGAACAACAACAUAAUAAAUCUACGUGGAAUCUAAUAUGGACUUAUAAAAAAAGUUCCAAAGGUAUAUAUCUGUUUUAAAUAAAUUUUAAUAAAAUAUAACCCAUCCUUCCUUUUUACAUUUUAAAAUCUACUAUUUUAUACUCAACACAAUGUGAUGAAUUAAAGCUCGAAUUUUGAUAGGCUCAGAUUAACUCAUGUGGAGUUAGAAAGAAAAAAAAAACUGUUGUUUUCUUAAAAGUCGUAAGAACUCACACAUAAUGUGUAGUCCAGGGUUUAAACUCCGCCCCUAUACAAAUUAUCUCUGCUAAUUACCAACUGAACUACACUAACAAUUUCUCGUAAAUUUAAUAAGAUAUAACUCUUAUUAUUUCUUGAAAAAAAAUCUUUAUAUUUUUUUAUUUUGUGAUUUAAAAAUUUAGAUGAAUUGGAUUCUAGAAUUUCAUCAAUAAGGUCAUCAACUCCUUACCAUCAUCUGACUCAAUCUCCAUUGAUUGUUUAUAUUUUAGUUCGUUCAUACUAUUUGUAUAUUUUAAAUUGAUUUAGCCUAAAUCACAGGCGAACAUCUCAAAUAAUGAGGGAGUGAGUUGUUUCAACUGAUUUGAAACUAGAGGAUUAAAGAAAUCAAAGGAUCUAAAUCCUCGAAAAAACAAAAAUACUAACAUAACAACCUAGUAUUUUGAAUUUGAGCGAAAGAUACAUGCAGUCACCGGCGGCGGAGCUACAUAGAGCUCGGAGGGUUCAAGUGCACCCCCUCAAUUCUUAAUUUUACAUUCAAAUUAUCAUGUUGAAUCCCCUCAAAUAUAAACAUUGCACCACACUUGCACCAGCUGCAUCACAAUUGCACUAACUCUGACUCUUUUCCUGACUGUGUUGUUUAAGUAUGGUGAAAUGAGACAAAGCUUGUAACUGACAAUUGCAGCAGCUAGCACGUGUCCUUUGAUAGCAAGUAUUAUACUAAUAUCAUCAUGUGGCACAUUAUUAAUUAGUUUAGUGAAUGUCUAGUAUUGUAAUUGUAAUAUUAUUAUCUUGAUAGCACAUUUGUUUUGGUGAAUGGCUAGUAUUAUUGUAACAAAAAAGAAAAGAACGGUUAGUAUUGUAAUAUUAAUUAGUCAAAUGAGAACUACUAUUAUACAGUGAAAUAUAAAUUAAUUAAAUAGUGUAGAUUUUCCUAAUUUCUUAUAUUAAUUAAUUCAUAACUAAUUCCUUAAACUAAUUCAUAGGUUUUACAAUUUAAAUUCAAAAUCAAAACAUUCCACAUAAAUUUACCUGUGUGGGAGUCGGAUUAGGUUGUGGUGUGAAAUAGAAAAAAGCUUUGCCACCGAGUCAAAUAAAGGAUAAAUGGAUGAACAAUUCUCUUUUAAUUUGUAGUAUUUAGAGAGAUGUAGUUGACAAUAUUGAUAAUUAGUCGGUUAUUCAACGAUAUUAUAAAAUUGUGCAGAGGAUAAUAGUAGACUAUAUAUGUAAUUUUUUGAGUACCACAUAAAUUAAAUACAAUAUAAUUUUUUUAAUAUAUAUUAUAAUUUUUAAUUAAAAUUCAAAAGUUAAACCCCUGAUUCAGAUUCCUGGCUACGCCACUGAUGCAGUUAAACAUGCAGUAACUAAUAAAGUUAGUUUAUUCUCCGUAUAAGAACCUGGCAUGCAUGAUGAUGGAUCUGCCAUAUAAUAAUAACAACUUUAGGGAGUUCAUACGUACGCUUGUUAAAUACAAUAACAAAAAGGUUUUUUCUAGAUUACCUUUGAAGAAUGGUGGGUAAUUUACCCACCAAUCAAUGAAAAUGAACAAUUUGUUGGUGGGGUCAAGAUAGUUCAUGAAUAUCACUUAAAAAUGUGUUUAUGUGGCUAAUGUGUAUUGGUUGGGGUAAAUUAUCCACCAUUCUUCCAUGGGUACUCUAGGUGUCACCUAACAAAAAACAUUCAAAUUUAAGACGUCAAUAUGUUUUGUUAUGAAAAAAAGACUUCAAAUGUUUUUAUCCUCUUUUUUCUAAAAGAUGAUAACCGUUGAUUUCUCUCCUUACUUUUAGGUCAGUAUUCAGUCUUUUUUUAAGUGAGAGAAACCGGUUGUGAUCAUUAUCGAAAAAGAGAGAAAAAUUAACAGAUUUUUUUAGGACCAAAUCAGUAAUUUACCCUAAUUUUGGGGACUAAAACAUAUUGAAGAACAAAAUUAAAUAUACUAGAUUAGCAUUGCAUAUCAAACACAACAACCAUGCAUGCAUGUUAAAGUCUUUAAGGAGAUUACCCAAUUAAGUUGAAUAAAAUAAUUUAUGCACUGAAUCAAUCUUGAUGCCAAGUUGCUUAACAUGAAUAAAAAGAGUUAUUUAACAUAGUAGCUAUAUUAGAUAAAUGUGACUCAUCACAUGGAUAGAUAUGUGAAUUUGCAUGUUUAUACCUAACAACCCACUAGCCAUAGUAGAUAAACGUGUGACUCACAUUAAUCAGAGUCCAAGGUACUAACAUGCUUCGGAAAAUAGUUAUUCUCACAUGAAUCAAAUAGUUUAGUGGCUAGAAAUUCAGCCCAAGGUAAAUAAGAGGAGAAUCAGAAGUUUGAAGCUAAACCCCUGCAUACAUAACACAACGUUCAUACCAACUUAAUUAUGUUUACGGAAACAUAUACACGAUAAUUAGUAACUUGCUUAAAUGAAUAUUUUGCGAGUUAGAUAUUUUUCCCUUCUAACUACAAAGUAACACUCACCACUCUGCUCAUAAAUUAUACAUGACCAAUGUGCAAAACAUGAACGAUGAAAAAGAAAGCAAGAAACAGAGAACCCUGUUUUAAUUAUCUCAAUAACAAGCGAAUUUGCAAACCCUUAAACAAAUAAAUAUCAUCAAGGCUCAACAAUAGUUCUACAAUAAGGACAAUGAGGAUGUGUUUCAAGCCAAGGGAGAAGACAUGCUGAAUGAUACUUAUGUGAGCAAGAAAGAUUCAUAACCUCUUCAUCCUGCUGAAAAUCUUCUAAGCACACAGCACAAAUUUUUCUCUCUUUCUUAAAUUUGUUGCCACGUAAUAACCAUGAACUUUCUAGUAACUUCCUACCUAAUCCUGCAUCUUUCUUUUGGAAUUCUUUUCCUUCUUUUUUGGGAUUGUGUUCACUUGACCUGUCAUAAGAAAACGAGCAAAUUAAUCAUUAAUUAGUGUAAGAUGACACAAGCAAAAUAAUAGUUCUGCCUUACCAUGAAUAGUUCGGGACAUUCCAAGUUUGAUUCCUGAUGAAAAUAUUUUUUGAUCAAAUUUUACUUACUUUUCGACCGAAUUUUAGUUUACUAGGGUCUUUUUUCUCUAGGAACUAGAGGUUAACACAAAAAAAUCUGUUCUUACUUUGAUAUUAAGAAAAUAUUACUGUAAGCCAGAGCCAGGUUAGAAAGUAAAAUUGAUAAAAAUAAAAUAUGAAUUUCAAUGGAUAUCACGUGGAUUUUAACAGUAAUUUUAACAGUAAUUUUAACAGGAUUCUUAUAGCCCACAUUGUUGUAUGCAGAAUGACCUCAUAACUCAUCAUAAAUGGUUAUAGAAACAAUAUUAAAUCAAAACACAAUUAAAUCAUGUGAAUCUUCCUUGAUAUCCUUCACUUUAGAGAGAGAAAAAAAAGGUUAAAUUCCUUACUAUGCAUGUGAGUGUACAUAAGAAACAUGUGGAAAAUUAAAUAAAAGCCUAGACAAUUUGUAUAAAUUCUAGCUAGUUAGACUAAAAAUUAAGACUAACAGGUUUCUUGUUUCUUAAAAAAAAAAAAGUAUUAUUCUGUAGGAGUGGAUGUACCUUGAAGAGGAAAAGAAGUGACCAAGUUUCUUCUGUAGGCGUUGUUUGGCUUUGAAAGCAGUUUCAUCUAAGGUAGUAGUCAUUGAAGUCCAUGGUGCAUCCAAUGAUUCCUUUAGGUAAGAGUCUCUGUAGGUAGCAUAAUGUUCAUGUCUGUUGUGAUAAUGUUCUGAUCUUUUCCUUGGUGACAAUCCAACACCAGGUAGCCUACCAGCCAUUCACUCUUCUUUACCUAAGCUUAUUCUCAUCUCAAUUUAUUGCUUAGACCCACAAAAAAUAAUAAUGCAUCCAUGUUUUGAUUGAUGGUUGCGUGCUCUACUGGGACAAAUAUACAAUUUACCUCUUUGUAAAUACCAAAACUUAGAGGGGUCAAUUUUCAUGACUCUACAUGGACUUUUGCUAAUUAUUUAAAUUGUGUGAUUGAUAUUCAUGUGCACAUGACAUCAACAAUGCUUUGAUUUUGGCUUUUGGUGGGUUUGUAUGGAAGUGUAAUGUUCUAGGAUGUGGGAAAUUGGAAAUAUUUUUUUUUUUUUUGAAGGAGUUUUAUUGGUUACAUCUUACUAUUGGGAGGAUGAUUUUUUAGUGUCCACAAAGAAACACGUGGUUCUGAAAAGGAUAGCCGAAAAUGGAGAGGCAAUGUUGUCUCAAGUACUGUAGUACAACAUCAUAACUGUUUAUUGGGAGAGUUGGGGUCUUUUUUCCUUACGUGAUUUUUGGUACUCAACUUAGGUGGUUAGUUAUUUUACAAGAAUGGUCCAAAAUUCAAAAAAUUGUACUAGGGCAAGGUGGGGCAUCAGGUAAUUGAUCUCAAGGUGAAGCAUCCGAGAGUGAUAUUUGUUACGGUGUGUUAAGUGUGAGUUAAAGUACUAUAGUAGGUGGAAAAGUUGAGGUUGAACAACAUAUAAUUGAGGCGAACCAUAAAUCCAAUGUUUAAGAUUUUAGGUAAAAAUGUGGUGUACAAUCUCACUCGUGUGCUUAUUCUUAAUCCGAUAUGAUAGAUCAACCCCAUGAGGCUCCCAAGAUUUCAACUCUUUAUAAGGAGUCUAACUUAUUUUUUAAGAUUACUUUUAAAGUGUGUUUGGUGCGAAACAAAUUAGAGAGAAACAACUACAAGAGAAGUAGUGGAGAAGGCGUUUUUCACUUUUGCCCCUAAAUUUCCAAUUUUACCAAUAGUUAUUCGAAACACAUGACAUGAUCACGAUGGUAUAUAUGUAGAACGAGAUGUCUUAAAGGCGAAGGUGACUUAAGUGAUAAAUUACAAUCAAUGAUUAAAAAUGGAAGUUUAGUUGCGCCUUGAUGUUUCUUGCAUUCAUAUAAAACUUGGAUGUAACUUUAGAGAAGUAACAAGGUGAGAUAUCUCGACCUAGCGCUAAAUAGAAGUCAAUACUUGUCACUUCACUAAAAGUUGUCUUAAAAAAGAAUUGGGAGUGCACUGCAAAUCCAACUGAUAGUAUUUUUUUUCUUUCUUUGUUGUAAUUGGAUGCGUGUCUUGUGUAAAACUGAGAAGACUAAAUCUCUUGAGCUACCGAGAUCUAUUUUAACGGGUUGACAAUUUUUUUUCAAUGUUGGAUUACAAAAUUUAUGCAAGAAAUUAUAUGGGGUAAAUGUAUACCUAGAAAUUGAAUUGAAAACGACAAAACUUCAACCAAAUUGCCAAUGUCCUACCACAAUGUUGUGCAGUCCAUUCAAUUCAUUCGACAAUGCCAGUCAUUGACAUUAGCCAUAUAAGUUAGCUUACAAUUUACACGCAUACAAAGAAUCCUAGGUUUUCAUAUAUGUACUAUGAGACUCUUCGGUUAUGGGAUUUUUUUUUUCCGUAGCAGAAAAAAAGGGAUCAUCAUGAAAAAAAGCCGAAAGACAUAACCCAUCAUCCAAUCAUCUAAUAUUAGAUCAUAUUUUUGUUUGAAUUUAUUUAAAAUUAAAUCAAAUUUUGAAUGAGUGUUGUUGUACCCGGUCAAAUUGCAAAGAGUUCUAAAAAAAUUAUGUUGCAUACAAAGUGUUGUGUAUAGUAUAUGAGUGUGUGCGCUUAUACCAACGACAAGACAAUGGGCUUAAACUAACAGAAACAUAUAUAAUUUUUUUAUCUGUGUAUGAAACCCUUAAACUAUCAAAAAUAUAAAACUCGCGGAGUAGUUAAAGACACAGUUGGUUCCUCAUCUUGUCGUCCUACCAGUAUUAUUCACUAUUUUGUUUAAGAGAAACACACCAAAAUGAGACAUGUGUACUAUUUAAAAUGAAGGUAAUAACACGAUUAGAUGAGUUCAAUAGAGAAAACUAUAUUAAUCACUCAAAAAAUAGUAAAUUCAACCUCUUAAAUCUCACUUUACAAAUUUACAAUGAUAUUUCAAUCAUCAAUCACUCUUUUAAAACUAUUAAAAAACUUUAAUUAUUCGGUGUAAUUACUUUUUCCUAAAACAAUUCAUUUUUUGGUCAUGCAAAAGUAUAAUUACAAUGAUAUUUCAAUCAUCAAUCACUAUUUUAAAACUACUAAAAAACUUUAAUCAUUCGGUGUAAUUACUUUUUCCUAAAACAAUUCAUUUUUUGGUCAUGCAAAAGUAUAAUUAAUAGAAAACAUAAAGUUCAAAAGGUUGAAUGAAUAAAAAUUAACAUUUAAGUUUUGUCAUGCAGCUAUAAUUGUCACAUACUAUUCUAAAUUGACAGGAAAACCCAUGAAGUGUGCAAUACAAAUAUACAAUUACCAACUCUUGGCUUAACCAAUGAAUCUGAAAUGUUACAUAGCAUAUGGACCACAACCUGAUUUACCAAUGGAAGAAGUGACACUUGAAACAAAAAAGUGGUGGUUCAGGUGGCUAGGCUCACCAGGCAUAUUGGACUAGAAGUGCAGCGGCCAGUUAUCCCUCCACUGUCAAGAGACGGAGGUGUUUGCUGCUCUGUGAAACCAGCCUCACACAGUGCCCUCCAGUCUAGGACCAAGGAGACUCAAGCCUUCGCCUAGGUCACAUUGGCCAACUCUCAACUUGGAGUGGGCAGGCCAGCAUGGUGCAGCCACCAACCCAACCUGGCAAAUCUUAAGCCAUGUUCCAUCACCUUCAUGCCCCCACUUGGGUUACAAGUUGAAGUUACCCAACUCGGCAAGCUGGCAGCCUUGCCAGAAGUUUAUAUAGACUUAUUUCUAUCAUGAAAUUCUCGAUGUGGGACUUCUAAAUGUUAACUAAAACUUCUUCCCCUUCCACCAUGUUCAUUGUUCAACUUUCAUUGCUCACCUAAGCUUUUGAAUUAAGAUGCUAUGCUAAUUUUAUUGAUGUAGGUUUCAAGGCUUCGUUGUGUUUAAGCUUUUGGGCUCUCCUUCUAUGACUGUCCUAAUUCCUACACAUAUAUAUUUGAUGCUAUGGUAUAGGAAGACCAUAUAGACUUCUGAAGAAUGACAUUUGUAUAAUGACAUUUGUAUAAGGGUGCAGAAGACUCCUCCAAAGUUCAUUUUGAUUGUAUUCCAUUUCACAAUUUACAUGUGAUGUGAGUGUGGGUUAGAAUCACCAAAAUUGUAUGGGCAAAACAACAUCUUAAUUAGUUGAUGAUCAUGUAAAACAGGCCAUUCUUUACACCAAACUAUCAACAGCAGAUUGUGAAAAAACAAGCAUAAGAAUUGUUUAGUGCCAUUUUCUAAAUACAAUGAAAGUUUAAACCUCAAUCUCUUAAGGUACUAAAAGGUGGUUUACUGUCAUAUAUUUUCCUAAUCUUGAAUUAAUUCCAUUGUAAUUUGUUUGAUGAACACUCAAGUUUUUCUCAACCAAUAUAGCUACAGUGUCAUUUUUGUUUAUAUAUCACAAUUAAAACUAAUAUUUUUAAAUUAAAUCAUUUUCAAAAUCUUACAGCUUUAAAAUGUAUUUGAUCCUUAAGAAAAUGUAUUUGAUAUGCAUACAUAUUUUAUUUGCGUUCAUGUUCAAACCAAUUCAAACUAAACUGCAACUUGAUAAAGAAAUAAAAACUGCAGAAAAUUAAAUAUUGUUGGAUAUGUUCGUAUGUUUAAAAAACUAAGCAAAGUGCACAUGUAUAUUUAAUAGUUGUUUUUAAUUUUUUUACUGGAAUGAUAUAUUCCAUUAACCAAUUAUUUGUUGAUAUUAAUUCUUUUAAAAAUACUUAUUAGUUCAAUUCAUAUGUUUUAACCCCCUAUGUAAUCGAUGUUUUUCAUUACGCUGUGCGCGCGCAUGUGUCAAUAUAUAUCAUUUUGUAUCAUACCAAUUAUUUUAUCAUAUCUUUAUAAUAUUUAUAUUAAUACAAUUUUUUAUAGUUGUAAUUUGGAUAUUCAAAAGCUAACCUAAAUUAAAUCGCAUAAAACUGGAUAUUUCAAUAUUUUGUUUUGGUCCCAUUAAAUUUUUUGUUCGACUUUUAGUCAUCCAAAAAUGUUACAUCACCACUUUCUAUACUUUUAAGUCAACUCAAUUGUAUUAUUCCUAAUUUUUAAUUUUUUGACGCAAUCAUAUUUAGUACAUUAUAGAAUUCUCUCGAAAAAGUUAAAUUUUUUUAACAAGAGAUGAAUUAAAUAUAAAUUUUUAUUUUUUUUGUGAUUAAAAAUUCAUAUUUAAUACAUGUGUUUUUUAAAACUCUUUUUUUUUUGGAGAAAAUCUUUAUAAUAUUUUAAAAAUUUAUGCAAAAUUUUAGUCGAAAUUUCGAAUGAUACAUAUGAGUUGACUUUAAAGUAGGGACUAAAAGUGACGAUGUAAAUUUUUUAGUGGACCAAAAGUCAAAAUAUUUUAGGGAGAAGAAGACAAAAAGUUUGAAUGUUUAUUGAGAACAAAACCAUAUUGUAAUUACUCCUUUGUAAUUACUCCUUUCUUAAACAACUAGUUACAAUCCCGUGCUUCGCACGAGUUGAAUAACGUAUUUUUUUAAAAUUUAGUUUCGAAGGAGAAAUCUUAUAAAUUACGAAAAAUUAUUGUAAUUUAUAAAUAUGAAAAUAAAAAAUGCGUAAACCAAAAUUUUGCAACACAGAGCCUAAAACACUACAUAAAAAAUAACAUAACAACUAUUAUAAUAUCUUAUUCCUUAAAGUUAACCCGAACGCAAAAUUUUGCUCAAGAUUUAACCUAACUUCUUUGCUUAAUUUUAUUGUAUUAAUCCUAUUUAAUUUAAUCAAAAUGUUAACGUUAAUUGUUAGGGAGAUCAAAAUAAACAAAUCGCUUCUAAUUUUUCUCCUUAAUUUUACUAAACAAAUUAUAUUAACCCUAGAUUUAAUUUAUGCAAAACGUCAUCUCUUAUCUCUUAUUUUUAAAUGUUAACCCGUGACACAAUAUUAACCCUAGAUUUAACCUAAUUUUUUCGUGUGACUUUACUAUAUUAACUCUAGAUUUAAUUUAUGCAAAAUGUCAUCUCUUAUUUCUAAAUGUUAAUCCGUGACGCAAUAUUAACCCUAGAUUUAACCUAUUUUUUCGUGUGACUUUACUAUAUUAACCCUAGAUUUAAUUUAUGCAAAAUGUCAUAUCUUAUUUCUAAAUGUUAACCCGUGAUGCAAUAUUAACCCUAUUUUUUCGCAUGACUUUACUAUAUUAACCCUAGAUUUAAUUUAUGUAAAAUGUCAUCUCUAAUUUUAAUCUAAUUUUUUCCUCCACACUUUUGCAUUUAAUGUUUAUCUAAAGUAAAAUAAAAGUAUGUUCCCAAUUAUAUGAUGUUUUUUUGGAAAGGAAUAACAGAUAACCCGUCUAGCUAUACUUAACUUAAUCUCUUACUUAUAAAUGUUAACCCGUCUUGCUAUACUUAAGCUAUUUUAUUUUAUUUCUUAAAGUUAACCCGGACGCAAAAUUUUGCCCUAGAAUUAAUCUAACUUCUUUGCUUAAUUUUACCGUGUUAACCCUAUUUAAUUUAAUCAAAAUGUUAACGUUAAUUGUUAGGGAAAUCAAAAUAAACAAAUCGCUUCUAAUUUUUCUCCUUAAUUUUACUAAAAAAAUUAUAUUAACCCUUAUGCAAAAUGUCAUCUCUUAUUUAUAAACGUUAACCCGUGACGCAAUAUUAACCCUAGAUUUAACCUAAUUUUUUCGUGUGACUUUAAUAUAUUAACCCUAGAUUUAAUUUAGGGUUAAUAUGUCUUUACCCCCCUGUAAUUUGGGCGAGUUUCGGUUUUCCCCCCUAUAAAAAAAAAAGUUUAGAUUCCAACCCUGUAAAAUAAGAUUCUUUGAUUUUAGCCCCUGACCCAUGUGACUGUGCAUAAUUGCUGACGUGGCGGGCUGAGUGGCAUGCUGACUGUGCAUAUCUGAUUAUGUGGCGUGCUGACUAUAUAAUUAAUUAUUUUUUUAUUUUAAAAAAUAUAUAAAAAUUAAAAAAAAUAAGGAUUUUUUUUAUUAAGAAAAAUAUUUUCUAAAAUAUUUAUUUUUCGAAAAUUCCAAAAUUUAUAAUUUACGAAAAAUAUAUAUUUCAAAAUUUUUUAAAAUUAUUUUCAAAAAUGUUAAAAUAUAUAUUUCAAAAAAAAAAUUCAAAAUUAUUUUCGAAAAUUUGGAAUAUAUAUUUUUUAAGUUUAAAACAGAUUUUUUUUCGAAAAAUAAGUUUUUAAAAUUUUCUCAAAAAAAAAAAAAUCUAGAUACAAAUUUAUUUAAAUAUUUAGAUUUUUAUUACGAUGUGUUACAGAUUUGAGAAUAUUUUUUAAUAUUCAAAAAUUGAGGAUAAAAAAAAUCUGGAAAUUUUUUUAAUAUUUAAAUUUAUUCUUAUCUAUUUGUUACAUGUGUUAUUUGUAUUGAAAAUUAUGGACAUUUUUGAAAAGAAACAGCCAACCCAAAAGCUGAAAGGGGUUGUUUUCUUUAUAUAUAUUUCCAAAAAUAUUAUAUAUAAAAAAUUCAUACAAUUACUAUAUUUUGAAACUUUCGAAAAAUUAAAAAAAAAUCCAAAUUAAAUUAAAAUUUUAAAAAUAUUCGAAAAAAAUAAUAUAAACUAAUUUUUGAAUGUUUUGGUAAAAAAAUUAAUAUUUUUAUUUUUUGAAAAAAAAUCCAAUUUUUUUUUUCAUUUUUUAAAAAAAAUUGUUUUUUUUUUCUUGAUUUUAAAUUUUUGAAAAUGAAUUUUCAGUUUUUUUUUAUCUUUUUAAAAAUAAUUUAUUAAACCAUUACACACAUGUCAGAUUUAAAAAAAAAAUUAAAAUUAAAAUAAUUACACAGUGGCGUGCCAUAUCAGCGUCUGAAUGGGGUCAGGGGUGUUUUGUGGAGAAUCUUCAUAUUACAGGGGUGUUUUGUGGAGAAUCUUUAUAUUAUAGGGUUGGAAUCUAAACUUUUUUUUUUACAGGGGGGAAAAUCGGAACUCGCCCAAAUUACAGGGGGGUAAAGACAUAUUAACCCUUUAAUUUAUGCAAAAUGUCAUCUCUUAUUUCUAAAUGUUAACCCGUGACGCAAUAUUAGCCAUAGAUUUAACCUAAUUUUUUCGUGUGACUUUACUAUAUUAACCCUAGAUUUAAUUUAUGCAAAAUGUCAUCUUUUAUUUCUAAAUGUUAAUCGGUGAUGCAAUAUUAACCCUAGAUUUAACCUAUUUGUUCUAAAAGUACUUUUUUUAGUAAGUACUUAAUUGAUAUUGUGUUUUACCUAACUUCUCCUUAAAAAUGUAGAGAAGUUUGAAAAACGUCGGGUCAAACGAUACCUUAAUCUCCCAUAACGGCAAUGUAGAAACAACUGAAUUUGGGAUAAAAAAUUGAAAAAGUUAAAAAUAUAAAAAUUGGAAAAUAAUUAAAAGUUAUUAAAAAUAUAAAAAUUAGAAAAUAAUUAAAAAAAAUUGGUUAGGGGCAAAAAUGGAAAUUCAUAGGCCAUUGUUAAAAAAAACUCAACCAAUAAGUAGAUUACCAAAUUGCCCCUUAUAGGGGCAAAAUGGUAAAUUCAAGGGACAUUUCUUUUCUUAUUAGUAUAUAUAUAGAUAUAGAUUCAUUGUUUUUGUCAAAAAAAUAAUUCAUUGUUUGGUAAAAAGAAAAAAUAUUUAAGAAAAACCAUAAAACUCAAAUGGUUGAAUGAAUGAAAAAUUAACAUUUAUAAUUUUGCCAUAGAAAAAUCCUAAUCCUAUAGAUUACCAAUUAAUUAUGUUACACAUGAUGUGCUUUAACUUAUCCUAUCACAAUCCACAAAUAUACAUCAGUAGCUAAAAGAGAGAAAUGAAGAGAAGGAUGGAAACAUAUAGAGGGAAAGUGAAAAGGAGUGACUCUUAUUUCACAGUCAACCUUGUGUGAUUUAUAGUCUGCACUCUACUCUAUCUCGUUUGUGGUGUCAACAGCAAAAUAAGACUUGAAGUUAAAAAGAUUAUUGUCACAUAAAUUGACCGAAAAACCAGAAACAAUAGUUUAUGACUUUAUGUCAUUUUGUCAGGGUAAGAGAAGUAUGCACUACAAAUCUGCAAUUAACAUCAAAACACUCCUGGCUAAUCUUUGUAUCUGAAUUGAUGGAAAAGCCAUUCAGCAUUACCAAUAUGAAGUAGCAUGACAAAUUGCCAUAUAUGCUAAAAUUGAAUGUAUUAGUUGUAAAAGUGAGAACAUAAGUGAACGCUGCCACACCUUAAUUUACCAAUGGAUUAUGGAACAAGUGAUACUUGAAACAAAAAAAGUUGUGGUUCAAGUGGCUAGGCUCACCAGGCAUAUUGGGCUAGAAGUGCAGCGGCCAGUUAUCCCUCCACUCACUGUCAAGAGCCGGAGGUGUUUGCUGCUCUGUGAAACCAGCCUCACACAGUGCCCUCCAGUCUAGGUCUAGGACCAAGGAGACUCAAGCCUUCGCCUAGGUCCCAUUGGCCCAACUCUCAACUUGGAGCGGGCAGGCCGGCAUGGUGCAGCCACCAACCCAACCUGGCAAAUCCUAAGCCAUGUUCCAUCACCUUCAUGCCCCCACUUGAGUUACAAGUUGAAGUUACCCAGCUCGGCAAGCUGGCAGCCUUGUCAGAAGAUUAUAUAGAAUUAUUUCUUUCAUGAAAUACUCGAUGUGGGACUUCUAAAUGUUAACUAAAACUUCUUCCCCUUCCACCAUGUUCAACUUUCAUUGCUGGCCUAAGCUUUUGAAUUAAGAUGCUAUGCUAAUUUUAUUGCUGUAGGCUUCAUUGUGUUUAUGCCUGUGAACUCUCCCUUUAAGACUGUCCUAACUCCCACACACAUAUAUGUUAGAGGAAGACAUAUAUAGACUUUUGAAGAAUGACAUUUGUAUAAGGUUGCAGAAGACUCCUCCAAAGUUCAUUUUAAUUGUAUUCCAUUUCACAAUUUACACGUGAUGUGAGUGUGGGUUAGAAUCACCAAAAUUGUAUGGGCAAAACAACAUCUUAAUUAGUUGAUGAUCAUGUAAAACAGAUCAUUCAUUAGACCAAACUAUCAACACCAGAUUGUGAAAAAACAAGCACAAGAAUUGUUUAGUGUCAUUUUCUAAAUACAAUGAAAGUUUAAGCCUUAAGGUACUAAAAGAUUGUUCACUGUCACAUAUUUUCUUAAUGCUGAACUAAUUUUGCAACAUGAGGUAUACAAACCUAAUAUGUAAUUGAAUGCAUGUAUUAAAAAAUACCCCUCAUCAUACAUGUAAAUUAAAUUAAUCCAUAAUUUUUUUAAUUUCCGGAGUGUAUUUCUACUGUCAAAAAUGAUCUUAUAUACUUGUUUUUCCUACAGUGCUUCAGAACUUACCAAGCAUGCACUAGCAGCUAUAUCAUGUUCUCUGAUUAGCUGGAAUCAAAGGAUUUAUCUCCAAUCAAACAGUAUCUCAUAUUGUAAACCCAUGUGAACAACAUUAUUAGCCAUACACAAGAUUCUCCAAAGUUGUUGAUUCAAAGCCUGUGCCUUGUAUUGUCCCUUGUUUUAGUAUUCUAAACAAGGUAAUAAACAAUUUAAACUCCAUUAUUUUGUUUUAAGUCAAGUAUUAUUAUCAUGUAAUGAAUAACAGAAUGUCUUUGAAGGGAUAUGUUGAUUGUUGACUACAUCCACAUGGGGUAGAAGAGAAAUUAAAUCAAAAUUUUGGACUCUCCUACAGGCCCCACUUGGAGAGGAUCUUCUGCAUUCAGAUAUCAGAUUAUGUUUUAAACAUGUCUUCUUUACGUACCAUAUAAGAACUUUCCAAGAAAAUGCAUCAUCACUGGCCCAUCUUAUAUUACAUGCUUUUGGACUUUUGGGUUGGAUUCGUUGAAUGAUUGCUAUACUAGUUUUUAACCAUAGAAUAGAAGCAAAUUUUUCAUCAAAUAUUGUUUUUUUAUUUUUUAUUUUAUUUUAUUUUUUAUUUUUUAUAAAUUAUUGAUAUUAUAUAUUCAACUAAGGUCCAAGACUCAGGAAACAUAUUUGCUGCUGUUACCGACAUUUACCACAUAUAUGUACUAUUUAACAUAUGGUUUAGAGUGAUUUGCAAAUAACUUGUACAAUUUUACAGAAUUAAGGGUAUACAUCAUAGAGAAGGCAAUGAGGAAAAUUCCAAAGGUGGUGUUUCCUCCAACAGAACACCUUGUAAAAUGGGGGAGCAUAUAUGUAAACAUGCCAUGUGAUUGCCAACUAGUGGUUUGUAUAUGAAAAUAUAUCCUUCAGAUCAAAACAAAUAUGCAAAUUAAUUACUUACUCUAUUAUAUGAAUAAGAUGGGCCUAUAGCUAUUAAUUUGAUGUAUACCUAUGUUUACUGGCCAUCCCUGGUUUAUUAGACUUAUGUCCCUUUUGUUAAAUGGAUUCUAUGGAUACAUUAUUUGCAUGCAAUUUAUUGAGAAUCGGUUACAUUUACUCCUUAUCCAUCCAUUCUAUUAUGACUGACAUAUUUCUAUUUUUUUCACACAAAUUAAUGAAAAAAUAUAGAUAAAACUAUAGAGAAAAACCCUGGUGGCACAUUAAUAAAAGAUAAUAAAGAAUGAUAAUAGUUUAUCAAGAGGAUUACCCUUCACUUUAGAAGGGUGGAUUAGGAAUAAUUCUAAUACGGGACAUGAAUAUUAGGACAUAUUUUGGACCCUUGCAAAAACACAAAAAUGAAGGAAAAGAAUAAUUAAAUAAUAUUUAUUUUUUAAACUAAUAAUAUAUGAUGUGCAUUUUUUUGAGUGUGUGAUCAAAUAAUGUAUCUAAAUCUAAUGUCCACACAAGAAUUGUUUGUGAAUUAGACUUGAUAUGAUAUCAAGCCUAUCAUUUCGCACCAUCCAUCAUUUAUUAUAUCUAGACAUUGGACACCAAUUUUGUAAGGAUGAGUUAGAUUUAAUUUAGAAACCUAAUAAAAACAAUUAUAUCAAAUUAAUCUAAUUAAGUUUUAAUACAUCAUUUAUUUGUUUACCGAACCUUGAACUAAAUAGUUAAGGGGUUUAAAUAUCUAUAACAUGUGUUAUGUUAAGUAAGGGGUCCAAGUAAAUAAAUCAUUUAGCCACCAUUGAAGCCAAGCAAUCUUAAUUUAAAGCUUGGUAUGGGUGACCAAUCUCAUUCAUAACUACUAUCAUAAUCUGAAACUAUUUAAAACAUCUGGCAAUUGACAUCUCUAUAACUUCACGUACGGUCUCCAGUUUGUUUUGCAAGCUAACAUGGAAUUGUUGUUAUCAGUGUCACAUUCUGCUCAGCAUACUGUAAAGGUUAUGAUGAUGACUUCUAGCAAGGUCUUGGUAUCAUGAAAAAUAAAUACUAUAUUGAAAAAAAACCAGUAUCUAAAGUUAUUCUUUACUUUUAAUUUAUUUAUAACUUGUGCUUAACUUAUCUAAAAUAAUAAAAUUUGAUAGUCACAGAUAACAUUCAUUAUUCUUCUUGACUACACACGGAUAGGAAGGGCACGUGCAAAAACUAAGGACACCUACCCCACAAACUUCUUCUAAUUUUCUAUAGUUCAUGACCCCUACAAUAAACCUUCAACUCUUAAUACAAAAUUAAUUUUGAGUAUUUUACACGGAUGCUGCAUGUUCUUCACCUAUUAUCACAUGCUUUCUGAUCCACCCCAUCCCAUAUUAACCCACAUUUGAAAUCACCAAAACACCCUUGAGUGACAGUCAUUUAUUCCCUAUACUGUCAAUGUGGGGACAAUUAAAAAAAUUCUUUUACAUUUUAGAGGGUAAGGAAUCUUUUUUUUUUUCUUGUCAAGGACCUUACCUAAUUACAUGAAAUGGUAGUUAACAUUUUAGUGCCAAAAAAAGAAAAAGAUUUGAUGUAACAGUUAGUUUAGGCUGUAAAAUAGUGUUAUAUAAUAAUUUCAAUAAUGUGCCAAUCCAUAUAGUACUGAAAGCAACUUGUCAAUUAUAGAUACCAAGAGAUCUACAAAUAAAAUCAUUUUGCAACUUUCUUAUAGGUAGUUGCAACAAUCCAUGUUAGUUUACUAGGCACUUGAGAGAAAAGAGAUGGGAAAAAAAGGUAAAUGGCUCAAAAAUUUCUUGACAGGGAAGAAGGACAAAGAAAAAGAGAAGGAAAAAUGUAACACAAACCAGAAUUUUUCAAAUGGAACAGAAAAUCCAACUACUCCUGUUUCAACAACACCCUCAAAGGAGAAGAAGAGAUGGAGUUUUAGAAGAUCAUCAGCAACAGCUACACCAACAGCUUCCAAGGAAUUGAAUAAUUCUGAAAUUACUGCUUCAAUGACAGUGCAAAGUACUGUCAUUGAUAUUCAGAAUGAGCAAAGGAAUCAUGCCAUUGCUGUGGCUGCUGCUACAGCCGCGGCAGCUGAUGCAGCAGUGGCAGCUGCACAAGCUGCAGCUGCUGUGAUCCGGUUAACUUCUGGUUCAAAUGAAACAUCUAAAAGUAUUGAAGAUGCUGCUGCUGUUAAAAUUCAAUGUGUCUUUCGAUCUCACUUGGUAUGAAGUUAGUUUUCCUAGUCCUUGAAAUUUUAAGGGUCGGUCAAUUUAAUCUUUCAAAUUUGCGAAUUAGUAUUUUAGUCCCUUAAAGUGAACAAUGUCAGAUAAUUUCGUUGUUUUUCCAAAUUUAUCGCCACAAUUUAAGGGUCGGCCAAUUUAGUCCUUCAAAUUUGUAAAUUGCCCUACUUUACAAUUUCAAGGACUGAAAUACUUAUGGUUUGUGAAUGUGUGAAUGUUUCUGUGACAGGCAAGAAAGGCAUUGCGUGCUUUAAGAGGAUUGGUGAAGUUGCAGGCACUGAUAAGGGGUCACUUGGUGAGAAAACAAGCAAAGGCAACACUCAGAUGUAUGCAAGAUCUGGUCACAGCACAAGCUAGAGCUCGUGCUCAAAGGAUCCGAAUGGUGUCAGAAGGAAAGCCUCAUCUAAAUCACAGAAAUGCUAUGGAAAAUGACUUGUUCAGGCAAAUAUAUAAUGUUAGUUCUCUUACUACUACUAAUUAAUAAUUAUCUUUUCUUACCAAUUUGAAUUUGAUUGUUGAAAUUUUCUGAAUUGAUGUCAUAAACAUGAUUGGAAAUUAUCUAUAUCGAAUUGAAAACAACAUUUAGUUCAAGUGUGUUUUCAAUUUGACACAUAAAUUUUGUAGGUAAAGAAAGUAACAAGUUUCAUUUUGCAUUAGUUAAAACAUUACUCUAUCAUGAGCCAUGGCACCACACUUUAUAUUGAAAGUGUGUCUGAGCAUCCAACAAGCUACACUACUGUUUCAGACCGACACGACACCAACACUUGUGAUUACAUACACUCACUUCUAUUAUCUUAAAUUAUUACCAGUGUGUAUGUGUAAGCAUAGUAUCAUGUCUUGUGUACGUUUUAGUAUUUCAUAGGUCACGGGAAUUAACAAACUUAUUCUUAAAACUCAAUUUUUUUUGCUUGAGUAAACUUAAAACUCAAUUAGUGCCUAGAAAAUUGCUUCUUUUGUGUGUUGUAAAAUCCAAAGUAAAACAUGUUACAUUAUAAAAUUGUUUAGUCUAUCCAAAUGAGGAACAAUAUGAAGUAGUUCUAGUCAUGAAAUUCGGUUUUGUGCAUGUAGGAAAUGGACAGAGGCUUGGAAGACAACAUCAAAAUUGUGGAGAUGGAUUUUUGUGAAUCAAAAGGCAACUCUACAAGCAGAAGCAGCAGUGUAAAUAGACAACAUUAUGAGCAAUCUGAAAAUAGAUAUUCCAUAAAUGGUUCCUAUACGAAAGAAGAAAACUACAAAGUAUCACCAGCUCCAUCAGCUUUAACAGAAUUGAGUCCAAAAGCAUGCAGUGGCCAUUUUGAGGAUUGCUUCAGUACAGCUCAAAGCAGUCCUCAAUGCUAUUCUGCUAUAUCAAAAACAGAUGAAUCAAAUCACCCUUUUGCUUUCCCUAGGCCAUCUUAUGCAGAACAAAUGUCCUAUGACUACCCUUUGUAUCCAAGUUACAUGGCUAAUACAGAAUCAUCAAGAGCUAAAGUUAGAUCACAAAGUGCACCAAAACAAAGGCCUGAUUCAUUUGAGAGGCAACUGAGUCGGCGGAGAAUUUCGGUUGAAGGAAGAAAUGUUCCUAGGCCAGUGAGGAUGCAGAGGUCAUCUUCACAAGUAGGUGCAGCUGCUCAGAACUACCAAUAUCCAUGGUCAAUUAAGCUUGACAGAUCGGCGGUUUCACUCAAAGACAGCGAGUGUGGUUCGACAAGUACAAUGCUCACAAACACUAAUUACUGCAGAUCCCUUGUUGCAUAUGAUGUGAGUAGUACUAGUUUUUAUCAUACAAUCGUUUGAAGAAAAAAAAAAUAUAUCGGAUAAGUCAUUAAUUGCUUUGUUACAUUGUUUUGAUUGCAGCCAGAGGGAGAUAGGUACUGAGUGUGUACCUUGUGCAACACUAAAAUAGAAGUCACAUUGCAAGACCAACAAAAACGUAAGCAUUGAGGUGUUAAGGUUUCUGAGUUCUUCUUUUCCUUUUAGAGUUCCAAAGAAAAUAUAAGUUCUGUUUUUUAUGAUAUAGAGUGCUGGGAUUUAUUGAAAGUACAACUUCUGUAGAGUUUUUUUUUCUUCUUAUAUUCAUUGUUUGUACUGUCUGUGAAUUACAUUUGUGUGAAGGAUUUGUAAUGGUUUUUUGUCAUGUAUAAAUGUUACCAAGUUAGAUAUAUUUCAGAACAGCACUGUUUUACUAAAGAGUUGUUUAUUUUCUUUGAUGAUUUACUUAGUCCAUCACUAGUUGACAAAUAUUCUUCAAGAGGGCAAGGACCACAUCCACAUGUUAAUUGAUGUCAAAAUGUCAAUACUUAGUACCUAUAGUUGAAGCUAACUACUAACAAGUGCACUACAAAACACUAAAGUACCUAUACUGGUACAUUUUGUUGACAGAAAUUUUCAUGAUUUUAUCAUGAGUGCUAGUACCGCAUGUUAGUGACAUCCAUACAAAGUGGUAUUGGUACUGCCACUCUAAAGAAAAUUUCUUAUAGAAUGUAUCUUGAGGCAUAUAAACUAUUCAUAAUUCUGUUACCUAUAUCUUUGUCACUUCCAAAAGCCCGAAAACUAUUCUAUUCAUAAACUGAACAAUAGUUGAGUUUGAGGUAACAUCCAAUUUCAUGCUGCACAUUUGCAUUACUAAUCACAUCAUAGUUGAACCAAGGGAGCAAUAUGUUUUUUAAUAUACAUCAUUAGUACAAAGGUAAUUAUUUUAUCAAAAAAUUAAAAUAAAAUUACAAAGGUAAUCAAGAUUGAGCUAGUGAUCUUGAGUGCAAUUAGAAAAUGUAAUCAAAAUUGAAAUUUUGAAAUAGGUGGUGUAACUGUUCUUCUGAGGUUGUAGAAAUCUGGAUAUUAUAUACAUAAUGGGGGGUGGCAUUAAAUACAUGAUUGGAGCAUUACAAAAUGUUACUAUCUUGUUGAUCUGGUGUCAUCUUUAUACCUCUUUUAAUGUCUCAAAUCAAAGAGAUUGUUGCUUUUUUGGCCCAAAAAAUGCACAAACCGUUCCAAAGAUAACAUUCGGGUGAUAACUCAUGAAGGUUGUUUUUCAAGAUAAAGAGCAAAUAGAAGGCUAAAGAAGAACGACCAUCAAGCAAAGAACUAGAACCCAUAAUCUUGUAACAGAUCUACAAAGUACUGCUCAUUGUGUCUUUUGGCCGAUCAAUCAUAUAUAUAUUUGUGAAUUUCUUUUCCACCUCCAACAUUCUCGUACACCAUAUUUUCGAAUUAUAAAAUCCAAAAAUUGAGAGCUUUGGAAGGUUUUUGAGCGUGUUUUACACUUUUCGAAUUAUAUACAAAAAAAAUUCCUAUUAUAUAUUAAUGGGUUAAAUAUGUUUUUGGUCCCUAUAAAUAUACAAAUUUUUUUCGUUUUUGUCCCUCUAAAAUUUUCCUUCAACUUUUGGUCCUUUAAAAAUUUUUCAUCUUCACUUUUGGUCCCUCCUUUAAAGUAAACUCAUAUGUAGAUUCAUAUUUUUGAAUAAAAUUUUGCAGAAAAUUUCAUAAUAUUGUAAGAAUCACUCCCAAAAAUAAUUAGAAUUUUUUAACAAAACAUGAAUUUAAUAUGAAUUUUUAUAUUUGUGAAUGUUAAAAAUUCAUAUUUAAUUUAUGUUAUGUUAAAAAAUUCUAAUUUUUUUUAAAAAAUAUUUUUACAAUAUUCUACACAUAUCUCCAUAAUUUUAUUAAAAAAAAUACCAAAAUUAACUUAAAAAUAGGAACCAAAAGUAGUGAUAGAAAAUUUUAUAGGGACUAAAAAUUGAAAGAAAAUUUUAGAGGGACUAAAACGAAAAAUUGGUAUAUUUAUAGGGACUAAAAACAUAUUUAACCCUAUAUUAAUAUAGCAGAUUACUCAUAUGGCAUGUAUCGAAAAAUAAUCAUGUGUCAUCAAAAUAAUAAUAAUGACAAUAAUAUAUUUCUUUAUACCAAUAAUGGGUUGGUCCUUAAGCAUGUGGUUGGGGUUUGGUUUCUAGCUCAUGCAUACGGAAAAAAUCUAGUUUGGGUGGAAGAAUUCACAUUGUGUGCUUCGAAGAUUAAUCAUUGUUAAGCGGUGAUGAAAACUUCGUAUUAAUAUUAUGGUAAAAAAAUAAAAUCUUUGAGUAAAGUGGAACAUGUAUCAUUUUUUUAAAAUUAAUAAAAAAAAUAUCCUUGUUUGUGUACUUGAAAGAGUAAUAAACUGUUUUAUCUGCACUCCUUGACAAUUUUUUCCUAUACCAUAAAAGUGAGUUGAAAGUUUCUUAUGCUUUCUACCAACUAGUUAAUGAUUAAUAAUAAAACGUGUAAAAAUUUAAGUCAAAAGGAAAAGCUAACGAUAUGAGAAAAUGAAAACCUUUUCGUCCUAUUUUAUUCUCUUUCCAUCUUAGUUUUCAUUUUUUUUCACCUACUGAAUACGUUUAUUAUAAAAUGGUAAUAAUAGAUAAUAUAGGCCACAAUCUGCCACGAACCUUCAUAGGAAGUAUAACAUAAUAAUAAUAAUAAUAAUAAUUGUUGCUGGCAUUCAUAUUUCAUAGAAAUUUUCUAAAAAGAAUGACAUAUAUAGUGUAGUUUGUGUUUUAGUUUUACUCAGUCCAAAACGUUUGGUGAUAUUGUACAUUGACAUCAACUAAGAUACAAUCAUUCUAGAAACUAACAGCACUAUACGUCAAGUUUUGUAUAAUCGCCCUUUAUUUGUCUCUUAUGCCAAAUUGUGCAUGUAAAUAUCAAACAUGUCUAUAUCUUCUUUAAAACUAGAGUGCACUGCCACUUAAUAUAGAGGAUAAAUUUAUGGAGUCAUAACUGUAUCAAUGAUACUAGGAACUAUAAUCAUGUACACAUAUACAAUUAUCACAAUUCACAAACUUUAGCUGAUUUUUUAAUUAAUAUGAUACGGUCCCACGGAUAUGCUUUGUAUUUGUACAUUUCAAAAAAUUAAUAAUGAUAAUCUCUUCCUUGGUUAUCUCAUGGUGUUUGACUUUGAUUGGCUCUUCAAUCUCUAUAUCCUUAAUUUAAUAUAUUAACUUAUUAUAAUUAAGUUUCUUAUCACAAGUGGGAUAAAAUUAUACUACAUGUUUUCAUAUCACAAGAAAACGACUUAAAGAAUUUUUCUCCCUUAAAUUUCAACCAUGCUUAAAUAGACCAUGUAGCCAAGCUUUCCUCCCCAUGAAUUCUUCUUGUGGUAAUUCCUUCCCAUGGAUUUUAUUACCUACUCUACCGUCUUCAGUUUAACUAAUUAUGAAGACUUGGCUUUUAUUUUCACAGUGAUUUUGGAAGAAACUGAAUUACACAAAAUUUUAUAGUAGUUGACAAUAAAACAUCUAUAUAUGCCACUUGAAUAAGUUGAAUUGCAUAAUAAAAAAUGUUGAAUGUAACUAGGCAACAUAUAUAUGCAGAAAAUUUGCUAGAGGAGGAAAAUGAAAAAAAAUACUAAGACAUGAAAGCUACUUGAACAAUAGGGACAUAUGGAAUUGAAAAGUGUCGAAAUACCAUCAAUGUUAGUUCUACCCUGAUGAUGUGAAAUUAUUGUAGGUGAGUAUGUAUAAUGCUACUGAAAUAUACUGCAUGAAUUUUUUUUAGUGAAUCAUCAACUUCGUCUCUGAAUUUUCACGGGUCGGCUAACUUCGUCCUUCAAUUAUGCGAAAUAUCAAUUUAAUUUCUGAAUUUGUUAAAUGUCAAUCAAGUUAGUCCUUCUGUUCAAACGGAGCGUUAACGGGGCUGACGUGGCCGUUAACCUUUCACAUGUCAGACGCCACGUAGGCAGGGACUAAUUUGGCCGAUAAUAACAAACAUUUUGAAGGACUAAAUUGAUUGAUUUGCAGAAAAUGUUUUGGCUUUCUUCCCAAAUGGCUCUUUUCUUCCCCAAUAGCUCUUUCUUCCCCAAUUUAUAAAAUUGGAACCUUAAUUACACAAUCUGCAAUCUACACUCUAUAAUCAUGAAAAUUUCCUCCAAUAAUAAGUGGUUCAGUUCUACCCCAAUUCAAAAAACUUCAAACCCUAAUUUUUUUCGUAGUGAAUUUGAAAGCCAGAAUCCUCAAAAUUUCUUGAAGCAAAACUAUUGAAAUUGAAUCUAAAAUGAUGUGGGGUGGGAAUAUGGAAAAAACGGUUAUGAAAGUCAAGCUUCAUCUUCAAGCUCCAAGUUUAAUGGUGUUGUGAGAGUGCUUGAAUGUUGGUGUCCUACAAUUUGUGUUGUUAGAAAAUCCAAUACUUCAAAAAACCCAGGAAGGUCAUUCUAUGCUUGCCCUCUGCCAAAUGUUGGUUUAACUAAUCAAAAGAGGUUGAAGAUGAUUGAGAAAUGUAAUCUUUCUAUAAUAAUAUUGCCAUCAAAUUAGUCCCUGAAUUAUUUCUCUAUCUAUCAAAUAGAUCCCUACGUUAUAUAAAAAACCAUCAAAUAAGUCCUUGAAUUGUUUAAUCAGAUAUCAAAUUGAUCUUUGAAACAUAUGUGUACAAAAUAAACUAAAAAAGGCAGAACACACAAAUUGAAAUUGAAAUAUUACAUAGGCAUAAGUCAUAUGUCAUAAGUCAUAAGUUUGAGAUAUUACAUAGGCAAAAGCAACCCAACUAUGGGGCAUUAACAAGUCAUAAGUCUUAAACGACAAUUUAAGCAAAAAGAAACCCAACUAUGGGGCAUAAUUCAAAUAAGCCUAAAUAUUACAAAUCCAAAACAUCUAUUAAACUCCAGGAAGCAUCACUUCUUUGGAAAUCCGGUAGUUGGUAUAAACUCCAUGAAUUUAGUAGGUUGAGUCGAACCGGAUGGACCAUAGGUUGGAUAUGGAACCCUAAUUAUGCCAGCAGGAGUUGGAUGAGCUGGUGCAGGACCCCUCAUUGAUGUUUGCCUAGGCCUAUCAACUGAAAGAAUUGGUCCUCUAAGGUCAUACCUCCUUGGUGCAGAAACCUGAAAUUGCAAAUUCAAUCAAAUUAGUCCCUAAAAUCAUAACAUAAUCAAUCAUAUGAGUCCUUCAAUUAAUAUUACUAAUUGCCAAAACGAUUCUUAAAAAUUAAGAGUCAUACCUGUCCAGCAUUUGCAACAACAUUUCCUGCAGUUUCUGCAUUCCCAGACACAACAUUAUUCUUGUGGCUGACUUUCUUGAGCCUCACUUCAAAAACCCUAAAACGAAUAAUCAAAACAAAUGCCUCAAAAACGCAACAAACACAAACAAAAAACAAGGCAAGCAUCAACGAUCACAAAAACAAAAUAAAACAACAUGAUCAAAACUUAAAACGAAAACAAAAAAAAAACGGACAAAAACAGGGUGAAUACGAACACAAAAACUUGAUAAACAACAGGAAAUGUGUUACCUUUAAUCACAGCCGAACACACAAACUUCAAAAAUGUCAGAAUCGUCGAAGAUGAUGAUGAUUUUGGAGGGGUGAAAAUGGAGGAAGUUUUAGCGAAAAGAAGAAGGGUCAAAGACGUUUUUGAUGUUCUGAAAUGUGAAGAAGGAGUUAUGGAUAAUGCAGGGGAAAAAUGCGAAAAGCAGAAAAAAAUAAACUGAAAAGUGAAAACUCAACAUUUUCCAAUUCAAUCAAAUUCGUCCCUGAACACGUGGCUUCCUUUUUGCCACGCGUACAAGACAACACAACAUGCAAGGCGACAGAUCAGCAUGGCUAACGGAGCACUUGGACGGAGGGACCUUUUUGGUGGACGUCUGACAAAUUCAAGGACUAAGUUGAUAUUUCGCAUAAUUGAGGGAUGAAGUUGGCCGACGCGUGAAAAUUCAGGAACGAAUUUGAUGGUUCACUCAAUUUUUUUUCUAAAAAUAAGAAACAUGCAUGAAAGUCAAAUUGCUAUAGUCAAAGGAAAUAAACAUGUGUGCUUAUAUAAAUAAGCUAAAGAUGGUAAAAACCGUGUUUCUGGUGAGAUAUAAGCCACCAAUUUUCUUCCGGUCUUCUACAAUAUGCAAUUAAACAUCAGCAUUGUCAUCGUUUACAUUGCAUGCCAGUUCAUUGCCACCAUGUAAUACUGCAUAGUAGCCUUUUCAGCACAGUUGAAUCCACAAAUAAUCAAAUUAGUAUAACUAAUUUUUUUCAGAAAUAGUAGAACUCAUAUGUAUGAAUGAUAAUAUUAAAAGGUAAGUUGUAUUGUGGUGGUAAUAAAUUAUUUUAAACACAUAUUUAAUCCCAUUUUUAUUUUGUUUCAAAAUACUGAAGUCACAAUUUGAAAUUGUCACUGCUAUUAUUUUUAUUUUAAAAAUUAAAUAGCACGUUGAGUGUUAGAUUAGAUAUAUAAUUUUCUUAGCCUUUAUAAGCAUCUUUGAAUUACUACUUAUGACUUAUAUAAUUUUGUUAUACCAGUAUCAUAAUUUUAUUUUCAUAGGACCCUAUAUAUUGUAAUUCGAGUUAAAUUACAGAAUUUGAAUACUAAAUAAAGCCGGCAGCAUUUCAUUUUGGCAGUCCUAUCCACAAAGCCUCAAACAAAAUAAACUUAAAUUAAAAGUACAAAAGAAACAGAAAAAUCAAUUUAUAGUAUAGAACUAAAAUCAAAUUAAAUUUGAAACCUUUCAUCAAAGAAAUAAAAAUGGUAAAAGACAUUUGAACAUAUGAUAGGUAGUUUAAUCUAGUUGAAUAUUCAAGCAAUAUAAUUAGAAAUUUUCAAUAUAAAAACAGAAAAAGAAUGCAAAAAAGUCUAACCAAAAUAUACACAUUCUUCAUUUCUCAAAGUAUAAAAAUAUUAUAAUCAUGAUCAAAAGCUGUAUGGAUGUCCGUUUAAAUGUCUAACCAAACCAAUCACUCUAUUAUUAUUUUAUAAGAGUAAUGUCAAUUUGCAGCACAACAAACAGAAACUUCCAAAAUUUCUCCAACAUACACACACCCCUUAUAUAAAUUCACAUUCCCAUAACACAAAAUCAAACCCAUCCAUUAUCAGUAAUGGAAUCCUCUUAUAGUCUACAAUUCUUAAUUACCUUCAUUGUCAUUCUCAUAUCCAUCAACCCCUCAUCACACCAAUCUCUACCACCACUAAACCCAAGACUCACCAAAGCCUACAUAGCACUCCAAGCAUGGAAACAAACAUUCACCUCAGACCCAAAAAACACCACCUUAAACUGGUAUGGCCCAAAUGUAUGCAACUACACAGGUAUCUUUUGUGCACCGUCACUAGAUGAUCCUUACAUCAAUACCGUUGCUGGUAUAGACAUAAACCAUGCAAACAUAGCAGGUUCAUUACCAGAAGAACUUGGUCUUUUAACAGACAUAGCUCUUUUCCACAUAAACUCAAACCGUUUCUAUGGUUCACUCCCCAAUAGUUUCAACCACCUUCACCUUCUCCAUGAGCUAGACAUCAGUAACAACCAAUUCUCAGGAACAUUCCCGNCACCGCCUCCACCUCCACCUCCACCACCGCCGCCUCCACCUCCACCUCCACCUCCUCCUCCGCCACCACCACCACCUCCACCUCCUCCUCCGCCACCACCACCGCCGCCGCCUCCACCACCACCACCAUCACCAUCACCGCCUCCACCUCCACCACCUCCUCCGCCACCAUCUCCUUGUCCGCCACCACCUUCACCACCUCCUCCUCCGGCAACUUACUACCAUUAUCUCUGAUGAGACAAGAGCUUGGAAUUUUUUAUUCUUCUUUUCUUCCAAAUUGGUAUACGUAAGAGAAUUAGAGGUAGUGUUUAAUUGGUCAUAUAUGUAAAAAUAAAUUAUAAGAAUUUAGCUAUUUCCAUUUUAACCGUUUGGAUUGAAGGUUGGUCAGGCAACUUUGUUUUGAAUUUGAGAACAAAUAUUAUGGUUGUUAAUUCUUGAGUGUGUCAUUGCACACAUAGUUAUAUAUACAUAAACAUAUACUCAAUUACUCAUAGUUGAAUUCAAUAUAACUCAGCUUGUGAAUGUGCAGAAUCGGGUUUUCGCCAUUGUCUCUAAAAACUCCAAGUCUAAACCAAGUUUUAGGUGAAAUUGACAAAAUUGUUGCUUCAUAAACAAAAUCGUCACUUGUCGGGUCAAUGACGGUGAUUCAUUUUUUUUGUUGUAUCAUGAAUGAAUGUCGGGUUUGUUAAGUCGUUAUCAUUGAUAAUUACCAAAAUAAUUAUUUUUAUAGCUAAGUUUACCAAUUCAAAUGCCACAUUUUGAAUUGAAACUCGUCAAAUAUUUUAUAAAAUAAUUCAGCAAGGCUAAC
rnacentral:lncRNA from 1 species